rnacentral:lncRNA from 1 species
UUUUUUUUUGGUUUAUGCAGGCGGGUGAGCACUAUAUUUCAGAGCAUUGGCUCACAUAUGCAGCAGUGUUUGACUAUGUUACGCCUGACUAUGUCGUCGAGACCCCGCCGCCACAUCUUGUAGACAAUGAUAAUGUAGCCAAUGAGCCUAAUCCCAGAAAGAAGAUGAAGAUGAAGAUGACAUGCAACGCAGAGUCCACCAGCAGUGGCAAGUCAGAUUCAAGCUUUGGUGAACGUUUUUCAAACCUGAUGGAAGAUAAAGAAUUUGCCGCACAACUCUUCAUGGGUCGACUGAGUAUGGAAAAUUGUUGUGACAAAGCUAUGAGGUGUGGUUUCAAAGGCAAAGAACUUCGUUCUGUUCUAAAUUUAUGCAGGUUAAAUUGGGAGCAGCGUCAGAUAUUCUUGAAACUUGAAGAUUCUGAAGCAAAGGACUAUGCCUUAGAAGCUAUUUACGGGUUUGUCCCGCCGCCACCGCCUCCGCCGCCGCCGCCGACCCAGUGAGUUGUAUGAACGUUUCCAAACUUGUAUGGACUGUAUAUGUUCAUUUAUGCUGGCUCGGGACAUUUGAACUUGUAUGAACUUUGUAUGAAUUUGUAUGGACUUGUAUGAGUAUUGUCAUAUAUGAAAUGUGUGUAAUGUGUAUUGUCAUAUAUAUAUAUAUAAACUGCAUGUGAUGUCCGUUGUGAUAUAUAUAUAUAUGUAUAUAUAUAUUAUUGGACUGGAUACGAGAAAAAAAUAGUCAUAACUUUGUCACGUGAGCAUCCAAUUGGCAAGCAAGUUGCACAACACAACAUCACACUCUCUAUCCAGGCAAUGAAUAAAGUUUGUCCGUGUCACUGGUGAAUUUCAUACGCAUCUGUUACUAGGAGCGAUAGAAGCGUGGGCGUUGUUAAUCGGGAAAUAUUGUGAUAAUAAAGCCAUAAAUGGAGCAGCCCUUUACCCAAAAGCUCUCACGCACAGGAAGCAUCUAGCUAACGCGACGUCGAUGGAAAAACAUGAGCAUCUUGGUCGCUGCGGCAGUUCCUGCGGCACGCGUGCGCGGGGUGCCUGGGCCUCCAUGGCUACUGAGGCUAAGAAAUUUGGACUCCUCAUUUGUUGAUCAGCCAAAGCGAUCACAAUGGCUUAAAAAGUGAUAACAAUCGCUUAAAUCUUGCUUGGAUCUUGCUCCCUCGGCAAAGCUGGUGAAUCUCUUGGGAAAGAACUUGAAUCUUGCUUGGAUCUUGCUCAAACCCAACCCUAGACUAAGGAUUUGGAGUGGGGAAGCUAGGGUUUCACUUUGGGGAGUUUUGGAGUGCUUAGAAGGUGCUUGAGGCUAAGCUUAUGCAGUUUGGCAGGGUGGAUUUUCCGUUGGGGUCGAAGGGAUAUAUACAGAGCCUCACUAAAAACUAGCCGUUAGGCUGUUUUUAAGUGUCCUGGCGGACUGUCCGCCAGGACCACUCGGGUUUGCAUUUUUCUGUUCAAGGUAUGGGUUCCGGAUUUGGUUUAUUUGUGUUCUACCACACACUUUCCACAUCCCCUUUGAUAGUACGGUAUACCUAGACUAAAGAAAAUAUAAAACAAAGAAUUAUCUUCGCUUGAACCACAUUUCUUGAACUGGUACCGUUCUCCAAUUUUAACGAAUCGUCGGGUUUGCAUUUUUCUGUUCAAGGCAUGGGUUGGCUUCAUUUCAUAAUGAGCAAACCAAAUAAAGUCAAAGCAUCAUGAUGAGAUAAAACCAAGAUAAUGUAAUAUCACAUGAUUUCACAAACAUAGAAAAGCAAUAAGAUCACAACCAUGCAAACAUCAUCCAUAAAAAGAAAUUAGAAAUUACAAGCCAACUUAGUUCAAAUAGGAUACAAGCCAAGUCUCACAUAGAUCCAAAGUCGCACAACGACUCUAAAGGAUGGAAAGAUAAGAAUGCUAGGAAUGCUAGGAUACAAUCUUCUCCCCCUUUGGCAUCAAACACCAAAAAGAGAAAAGACAAAUGGAAGCUCGGAGCAGUAAUCACUCAUCAUCCUCAUCAUCAUCAUCAUCAUCAUCAGCACCUACAUCAUAAUGCUCCCACGCAGCUGGAAAGUCCCUAGGAGGAGAAGGCGGAAAUGAGGGCCAAUCCGUCUCCUCAAUGCCAAGGUGGCGCUCAAUCCUGUUGAUACUCUGCUGAUUUGCCCGAGCGUGAGCACGAACUACAUCGUUGGUGUUGCGGCAUACUUUGAAGAGAGCUUUCAAGCCAGAAAUAAAGGCAUUGCCUUUCCUGCGAGGACGAGUCCUAGAAGAGGAAGGCAUCGCCGAGGUGGAGGGCAUAUCCAUAGUGGGCUGGGGUGGAGAGUGAGCUGAUGGGGGAGACUCGCCCUCUGGUGGAAACUCUUGCUCCUUGGGAGGCUGUGGGCAAUAUGGGGCAUGGACCGCAUCAUAUCCAAACUCCAUUCCAGUCACGGCAUUAAUCAUCCUUUGAAUGUAUGGAGCAUAGAUAACUGGAUUACUGCCAUGAUGGAGCAUGUACCUCAACUCCGUCCAGAAAAAGUGAAAGACACUAAAGGGCGGGUGAUCAAAGUCCAUAGCUAGAAGAAGGUUCUUGACCGUACCAUGAAUCUUGGUGCGAUCACCCCUCUUGGGAGUCAAGGUCUCCCGGAAUAGCCUGUUCAUGAUCUCCAUAUAUGGACGUAGUCCAUGAGUCGUCGCUAUAUCCGGAUCCUCAUCCCGAUAGAGAGUCAUAAGAGCUUCAUCCGUUGGAUUGAUGUCAUCGUGAAUUUCCAUCUCAUCUAGAGUGUCAUCAAGCUUAAGGAUAGUAGCAAAUUGCUUGUAUGAAACCCAGAAGGCGCGCCCUUGAAGAUUGAAGUGAAUAAAGGAAUUCUUGCCCUCACCUUCAAACCAAGCAGUGGAGCAAAAUUGAGCAACCAACUCAUUGUUCCAAUCUUGAUUGAGGGCCAAGAAUUCAUAGAAGUGUUUCCUCUCACAUUCACGUAUGACCAAGUCAAAGGUUGGAUUAUUUUUCUCACUCAUUUCAUCCCAAUUGAUGUACUUGGAGACGGUGAUAGCAUUCUUCUUCUCAAUAAAGACGGAUAUGUACCAAUCAGCUUGAAAUUUGCUCCAAAACCUCCUAUCCGUGAUGUACUUCUCAUAAUCAUAAGGAUUUUCCUUUCUUUCCUUAAAUGCAGCACCUCUUUGCUUUGUGGUGUAAUCCACUCGCUUCACUCCAGGGUCACCGAAGUUGAUCCUUGUGUACUCCGGUCUGUGCAUGAUAUACUUCCGGUAGGGUUGGAGUGGAGGGUACUCAUCAAAGAUAGGAACCUCCUCUUGAGGCACAUCACCUUGUGGUUGAGCAGCUCUUUGGUAGCUACGCCUGGGUGCCGCAUGGCUAGGACCGCCCAUUUGCCCAGCUCGACUCAUUGAAAUUUUGGGCGUUGGCUUCCUUUUGCGCUUAGGUGGAGGAACGACUUCAAUUUCAUCGGAAUCGGAGUUGGAGACGGGAUCAUGCAAGAACUUGGUCCUCCUCUCAUGCACCAUCUGUACAUGUAUAGGAAGUAUACAGCUUGAUUAGAAGUAAUAAAAGAACGGGUGGAUACAAACAAAGGAUUAUGCAGUAAAAAUCAAGACUGAGAGGUCCUGGCGGACAGUCCGCCAGUACCGGCGGACUGUCCGCCAGGACCUCUCGGUUUUGAAUGUUCCCGCGAAAACAUGUGAUGUCAAGAAUUAAUCCAAUGGGGCUCAAACUUUGUAGGCACAUUGUAGAUGAUAAUGGAAGCCUAGACUUAAAUUUUGAACAACAAUGAGUGGAUAGAUUGGGAGAUCGACUUGAAUAAAGGUUUAGGUUAUGAAAUGAACAUGAACAUGUGAACUAAAGAUUUAGCCAUCCAUUCUUCAAGAUUUUCAAGGAAUAGCAUCCUCUACCUAGCAGGAAACAAUAGCUAAAAGCAUUCCUCAAGAUAUGCAUCGAGUAGAGAGAUCAAUGGAGGAUUGCAUAUACCUUGUUCUUGCCCUAGGAUGAAUGGAAGUGCUUCCAAAGGAUUGGAAACGAGGGGAGAAGGUUCUUGCAGCCUGUGGAGGGGCUCCUUCGCCGUGGACCUUGCGGAGGAACCGAAUCCUUGGCUCCACGGACAAUGGGGGGCAAUGGGGGGUGUUGUCCGUGGGGAAGGAAGAGAGAGUGAGAGGGGCUAGUUGUGUUAUGUGGAUGAAGAGAGAUAGAGGAGCUUCAUCCAAGAGGUGUAGAGGGUUUUGGACAGCCUCCCACGGACAUAACACGAUGGGCCCACGAAGAGAUAGUUGGAUGGAACAAAAAUGAUAAGUUCUGCUGGCUGACCCCGAGAGGUCCUGGCGGACUGUCCGCCAGUACUGGCGGACAGUCCGCCAGGACCUCUCAGCCAGCCAAUAAAAUAUCUUAUUUGCCGAGUGUCGGUCAUCUGACACUCGGCAAAUACACCCUUUGCCGAGUGUUACAAAUGUAGCACUCGGCAAAGAUAACGGCGUUUAGGGUUUAGGGUUUAGGGUAUCUGUUUGCCGAGUGUAUCCGUUUGCCGAGGGUUAGGCUCUCGGCAAAUAAUAUGUUUGCCGAGUGGUUUUUUUUGCCGAGAGCGACGCUCGGCAAAUAACUUCUUUGCCGAGUGCCCGAAAUAUAGCUCUCGGCAAACUUUUCACCCUCGGCAAAUCGGGCCUCUCCGGUAGUGUCCAUUUUGUUUUUUCUUCUACUAGGUAGCAAACAUUAGAAGAAAACAAAAUGAAACGAUGUUAAUCAGAGUACUGAAUGUCAUUUAUGCAUGAUUUGAGGGAGUUUUUUAGAUGAAGGAAGUUUUAUUAGAAUAAUUUCCUUCCAUAAAUAGGAACAUAAAUUCACAUGAACUGUACACUAAUAAGUGAACUUCAUCAAUUCCUACGCUAAAAAUUUACCAAGCAAAACCUACUAGUGGUGGGUUCAUUAAUUACAAAGAGCAUUGAGCGUAGUAUAACUCCCAGACCAGUUUUAGUGCACAGUUUUAUGGGAUAGUUACCGAGACUGGAAACUAGGUGACUCUGCUAGAGGAGUUUUUAGGUGAUAAAACUCCUCUCAUAUCGCAUGAAACUCUCUCAUUCUCUCUUCUCACCAUUUCAGUAAAAUUAAUGAUGUGGUAUAGAAUUUAAUAUCAUAAAACUUUCCAUAAAACUGUUAUCGAGACUGGUCUCGUGUAACUGGCACUCCUCUACGGUUACUGAAAUCGAGUUAAUAGCAGCCACAUGGGUGCUUCAUCUAUAUAAAAAGAUCGCCUGCGGGGCUCCAGAUCCGACACAAGUACGGAAGCAGGGAGCCACUUGAAGCCACCACCCGCGUGUAGCCCAAGCUCCCUAACAAAUUGAGCACGUGAUGGCCAGGCUCGCCGUCCUCGCGACCGCCCUCCUCCUCCUCGUCGUGGCCGAGGCGAUCGUGUUGCCCGUGCACGGCGCCCGCCCUCUGGGGAGCGUGGAGCUCGUCGCUGUCCGGGAGGCCAGCUCGUCGUCGGUGGCAAAGCCCCCAUCGUUGCGGGUCCCGGCGCUCAUCCCGUUUGAUCGCCGCUACGUAGAAGAGGCGGACGGCCCCGCCGCGGCGUCGUACCUUGUGACCGACUGCACCCAUAAGACGCCGGCGAAUGGGUCCUGAUUUAUAAGCAGAACAUGUUGCCCUAAUUCGGGCCGGGUGUCACCUUAGAAUGAGCAUGCACUACUAUACCUUUGUUAAUUGCCAAAACCAUGUGAACGGCCCUGAAAUAACGUGAAACCAAUCAAUUAUCCGAUAUAUAUUGCACUGUAAUGUAUGGGGUAGCAAAGUGAGCCAGUAUUUUGUUUGGGGGCUAGACGGCAAACAUGAUUAUCUUGUCAGCUAGCGUUAAGCUACUGUACUGCCUGUACGUGUUUGAAUAAUAGCAUCAAUUUUUACGGUACAAGAUCAUAACGGCCAUCGGGAGUACGUACAGCAGUAGAGUUGUUGCGCAACAACGAUAGCGAUCAAGAUCCUUAUCACGAGUUACGAUCGAUCAUCGGAAUGGCAGGCGUUGGGAGGACACUCAUCCAAGAGCCGUAUUCAGACCAGGCAAGUCCAAUGCAACGUCAGUUUGCUGAAGAGAGGUCGCACUUACAAACAUUGCCUUGCCUUCCGAGCGAGGAUCAGGCUGCCGAUGCGUUUGGAGGAGUAUGUAUAGCUGGAUAGCUAGCUUGUCUCAUGGCAUGUACUGGCAAGGUUUGCUAGUUAUUACCAUUUUUCCUAGCUAACCCAUUUAAGCGCUAAGGAGUUAUAUGAUUUUAGUCCUGUAUGCCGUAUGUGUAGUUGAAAAAAAAGGACACAGACUUAAAAUGGUGGAACCUUAGGAAAAAAACCCACUAAAACCGUGGCCCUCCGAUUCAUUUUAUUUGUCGUUUCCAACAAGCAAACUGAUCUGGCUCCAAGCCAAACUGAUCUGCCGUAUGUUGUGGCGAUGGCUGGCGAUUAACCAUCAGGUGGAGAUGUUUGCAGCUGUAGGUGAAGCUGGAGAAUCAGGUGGCCAACCGGUCAGAUUCAGUGGAUACUUGAGGGGAAAUUUAAUUUUCCGUUGCCGGAAGCAAGCUAGCGCCCCGCACAGCUAUGGGACAAUAUAUCACGGAACAAUAAACGGCUGGAACAAUCAAAUGCAAUGUGGAAUAAUGAUAAUAAAGUUUCACCUAACUCUGCCGGCUUCGUCCGUAUAUAUACCAGAUGUCUUCUUAUUUCUUCUUUCCUUGUGUCUUCAAAAAUUCUGUCGGCGAGGCGAGAGCAAGAGUGAAUGAGGAAAAUGGUCGAGAAGGGCAUGGAUGGCGUUGCGGUGAUUCUUGGAACGGGAGGCAUCCGGAGGAUCAUAUUGGCAAGCGUAUGUUCUCGUCCUCCUUUUUUCCAUUUUUCUGACUGCAAACAGCCCUCUUUGAAACAUCGAUCUAACACCACUAACUGCGGACGUUGCAGGCACAUUUGCAUGUCUCUGAAUGUCUGAACCAAUCGAGUUCUGUCGUCAUGUCCUGGCCAACCACACUGGUUAUUAGGGCAACUUCGGCUCGGCGGCAUCUUACUACAGAGUAGUGAGGCCUGGCUGAAUCUGAACGUGGGGGGCUCGAUGAGACGAAGGUGCGCUGCGGACCUGAUGCCGGGAGCAUUGACGCAUUUGUAUUCUUGUUCCCGGUAGCACAGUUGCUUUGAACAAGAAUGCUUACGAGACAAUGCACCCGGCACUGACGCAUAUGCUUAUGUAGGUGGUCGGCCUUGUAAUCGUUGUUCAGCUUUUCUCAUAUGUUGUAAACAGUAAAACAUUUCUGGUUUCUUCUAAAUUCUAAAAACACAGGUGCUUUCCUAGCCGAAUCGAUCGGAGCGUGGGUUUUAUUAGUUGGUAAUAAGAGUAACUUGCAUGCACGUAGACCACCUGAUGCCGGGAACAUGAAUGCAAAUGCAUCAAUGCUGACUUGGACGCAGCGGUCAAGUCUGUGUCUCGUAUCAUUACCAACUAAAAGCCUCACUAGCUAGUGUAGUGGGCUCAUAGUCCGUCAGCUCUUGUGGAACUGGAACAGGAGUUGAGCGUGAUACCCAGCGUACCCACGUUAGGAGAAAUUACAUAGCAAUACGCUUAUAUGUCCAUUGCUAGCAGCUAGCUGUUGUUCAGAUUCGUCCAAAUUUUCCGUCAAAGUUACUUAUUAGGCAUCAUUUUUCAAAACUACUGCUCCCGUAAUCAAUAUGAACAUGACCAACUGACUUGUGCUCGAAUUGUUUCGGGGUAGAUCGACAUAGACAUGCUAAGGAAUUGUGGCGAUGUGCUUUGACCUUUGAGCGAGAAUGGAAGGGAUCAGGACUUGCAUUGUCGGAGGAAGCCCGCACCGCACGAGUCGACUGAGUCUCUCGGUGGGCUGCCAGACGGCCGGCAGCGCGGCUGAAGCGCAGGGACAUGGCGCAGGGACGACUAUAGUUAUCCAUCCGGUCCGAGACCCGUGGGCCAGUCUAUUGCCUGGCUUUUUGACCCGACACGAGGUUAAUCAGGCCCGGGCUGGCCCAGCACGAGCCUCGUGCCAUGCAUGGGCCGAACCCUUGGCAUAUGGGCCGGCCCGGUCCGGCAUGAUUAAGGCCUCAGCCUGACCAAGCACGUGGGCCGGCCCGAGCAUGCGAGCCCUGCUAGACCUGGGAGCAUGAUGACACUCCACCACCGAAAUUUCCUACAAUCAGCCUACGUAUAUAUACUCAUUUUGCCCUCCAAACCCUAGCUCUCACCCUCCCAGUCCACCUCCAGACUGGCGGCCGCCCCUCCUCCCUUCCCCGGUGGCGACGUGGCCGGCGCCAGCCCUCCGGCGGGCCUCCUCCUUUCCCCGCGCGGUGGCACGGCUGGCGGCAUGCUCUCCUCCCUUCAGGCCUGGUGGCGCAGCCGGCGCAUGGCCGCGACGCAGCGGCACCCGCCCUCCCAUCCCAGCGCGAUGCUAGGCCAGCGUCGGUCCGCCUCGCUUCCCCAUGCAGCGGCGCGGCAGGCGCCCGGCCGCCACCCUUCCCCGUUCGGUGGCGCAGCAGGCCGCUUUGCUUCCCCGCGCGGUGGUACAAGAGCGGCGGCGCAGCGGUACAGGAGCGACGGCGCAGCUAACGGGCCUGCGUGGGCUAAAUGGAUGGGCACGGCCCGUAUAGGUAAUCGGGUCGGCCCGGCACAAAUAACAGAUCUUCGUGUCGUGCUUAAGCCGAGGCCUUGGCACAUGGGCCGGCCCGGCCUGGCACGAUGAGCUAAUCGGACCAAUCAGACCGGAUCUAAUCAGAUCGGGUCGAGUUGGGUCCAGACCGUGCUGUGACGGGCGGCCCGAAUAGCCAACUAUAGGAGGACCGACAGAGGCGCCGCCGCGUUCGGGACGCAGCACCGGUAGCCAAACGACGCAAAUGCCUCCUGUGGGGCCUCAUCCUCCGCCCCAGCGCACACUGAGCGUCGCGGCAGGACAACGACCGGAAUCCGUCAGGCCUGGGGGCUGGGGCGUACGCGUACGCGUUCGCUUGCAAGGGGGGCGGCAUUCCGUAGCAGAUGAAUUGAUAGUUCAGAAAAAUCAUUCUUGGCAGAUCGAAUGAGUUUCGCAACAAAAUAUUUGUUGUGCGCUUUUCUGAAUUUUAUUUGAGGCGCCUUUGUUGUGCGUUUUUCUGAAUUUUAUGUGAGGCGCCAAUUUUGAGAGCGGCGAGCAUGAGCACGGUACAUUAGCAGGUCCUGGCCUUUGGGUAAGUUCUGCCCCAACUGAAAUUUUAGGUGUGAUCCACCGCGGGGUAUCUUACAUAAAAGUAUGAUGCGCAGCUGAGCAUGUGUUUGUAGAGAGCAUACUGCUUAUCGCUAAGCUGAAAGCAACCAGCAGGGGUAAGACUAAUACUCUUGUGUCAUAAAGAUAGUAGGCAAGUAUUUUGAUCAGGGAUGCAAGUUUUAGUUUCUCUGCUGAGUCACAGUCACUGAGUCAACCCAAAACUCAUUAAUUUGAACUAACCUUGAUUUCUAAGCAAAGGAAAUAUUAUGGUAGAAACGAACUAACGAAGUAAUACAAAACUACAUAUUGAUGUCACCACUUGCACGAUGCAUCUCUAGUUUCUCAAAAAAAAAAGUACGUGUUGUGCAUUGUAAUGUGAUCACCCGGAUCUUUCAGGGUGUAUGCUGUGUCUCCGACUCUCCGUAAGACUCCUAUCCUUUUUUUUUGAACUGUAUGACUCCUGUCCUUGCAUGCAAUCAUUCCCUGCUACCGAAACAUGGGGUCCAGUGUGCAUUCACCCACAACCACGCUGCUUCAUUCGUACUCACAGUAGCUUUACUACCAUCAGGAUAUAUAAAUUAUGCGUGAAUUUCACUUGAGACGUUAUCAACUCAGCCUCUUCUUCUCAAGAAAGAAAUAAAAAAAUAAAACCUACUUCUUCUUAGUGUGUCACUCGGCGAACGAACCAUACUCAUGUAUACAUGUUACCUCCUCCACUAGUCUGUGGUCGGCCUCAUUUUUUAGUGUGUGGUUUCACAGUCGUCAAUUCAUCUGGUAGUGGUCACAUGAGAAAAUCUGUAGUUCUUUCAGACUAACUAAAUCCAUUGUUGAGGAACUAUAGUAGCGAAGAGUUUUGAGAAAAAUGGCAUAGGAUAAAUUCUAAGCCUACCCGUCGUACGUUUUUAAUUAAUAAAACCGUGCUGAAACUUUUCAUCGAUCAUUUGCAAUUUUUGCAAGUUAAGAUGCUAAAGUAAUAUCUUUUCAGUAGCCUCCUCCACAUGCCGUGCUUGAGAGGUCAGGCCAUGAAUCGGAGAACAUUCUAGUUGAUAAAUUCAACAAUGCGACCACGGCACAUAGCUGGCGGCUUACUGCCUAGGAUCUGCAGGUCAGAACGCCCGCCGGCCUAACUGUGGACAUUGUGCCAAUCGUAUCUGCUUUGCUCCCUAGAAAAAUAUUUAUCAGCGCUUCUGCGAUUGGCUACCGCAGAUAUAAACUUUGUAAAAACUCUGAAUUUCUUCAAUUGGCUAUAUCUCUUAUGAUUAGCCUAAGUAAUGGACUUCCUUUGCGAUUUCUUCUAUGUUGUACAUUUGUAUGCGAUUCUUGUGGCCCAGUAGUCAUCUUUCAGAAAUGGCAGAAAGGAAGCAUUUCCGUCGAGCGUUGAACAAAACCAGCCUGCCUGUUGGGCAAUGCACUGACGUUCAUAAGCAACGUAUAUUAACAAUAUUAAAAUUCAAAGCAAAUAGAAUUUUUUGCCUAUUCGUACCCGAAAGGAAAUUAGUACUCUUUCAUCAGAAUUGAACGUGCCGUUUCGUCUUAUAAAUAUCCAGCUAAUUAAUUACAACCAUCACCUUCCAAAAAAACACCACACCCCGUUUCAUCUAUAUAUAUGUCCCGCGUUGCCCCUUCUCUUCGUAGUAGCACUACACGUUCGUGUGUCCAACAGAAACUCUCCCCUUUGCACCAUCAGAAACAGAGAGAGUUUCCUUUCAAAAAAAAAAAACAAAGAGAGCUAGUGUGAUACGCUGGGGAUAGGAUAAACAUAGACAUGAAAAGGAACCGGCGACGCGGGUUCAUCAUACUAUUUCAGAAUGGAAGGGAUCAGGAGGAGCGCUCGCACUGCCGGAGCAAGCUUUCCGAGCACAACUAAAUCGACGAUCUCCAUAGCAGAAGUUACUGCUUCUGCAAUCUGCCGCCGCCGACCAAUAUCCCUGCGAGAGACCACCUGAUCGCUGAACCAGCCUCCCGGUCAGGACAGCUACGACACUGCAACGUGGCGCGAAGACGGGAGCCGGGCAGACGCCCAUGGUUGAGGCGCGGCCGCGCUCGAGCCGAGUGCCUCUAGCGUCUCCUCUCUCGCGUGGCUACCUUGAGAGGCCGUCAGGAGUAGAGGCUUUUCUGCCUCCGACCAGGGCCGGUAGCGGGGCGAACGCGCCGCCUCCGGGCCGUCCGCAGGCGCCACCUUAUCGAGCUCGAUCAAGUCCUUGUGCACUUGUGUGAGCAUCUGCCGCACGUCUUGCAUACGCAAGAUAUGCUAAUCAUAUCGCACCAUGAUUCGUAGCUGGCCGCAGUAGCUCUCAAGUUCACCGUACAUGUUACGGAUAGUAGGCAAGAGUAUUUUGAUCAGGGAUGUUCUCUGAGUCACUGGAUCGACCAAAAACUCAUUAAUUCGAAGUAAUCUUGGUUUCCAAGCAAAGGAAAUAUUAUGGUAGAAAAAACGAACUAAUAACAAAGUAAUACAGAACUACAUAUUGGCUUCAGCACUUGCAUCUCUAGUUUGUCAGCGUGUAUAUGCAGUGUCUCCGUAAAACCUCUGUCCUUGCAUGCAAUUAUUCGCAGCUAUCGGAACAUGGGGUCCAGUGUGCAUUUACCCACAACCACGCUGCUUCAUUCGUACCCACAGUAGCGAUAGUACCAUCUAGAUAUAUAAAUUAUAUAUGUGUAAAUUUCACUUGAGAUGUUAUCAACUCAGAACCUUCUUUUUUCUCAAGAAAUAAAUGAAAAAUGAAACCUACUUCUUCUUAGUGUGUCACUAGGCGAACGAACCAUGCUUGUGUAUAUAUGUUACCUCCUUCGCUAGUUUGUGGGCAGCCUCUUUUUUUUUGUGCGGUUUCAUAGUCGUCACUCCACCUAGUAUUGGUCACAUGAGAAAAUCCAUAUAUAAUUCUUUUAAGCCAUCUAAGUCCAUUGUUGAGGAACUAUACUAGUUAAGAGUUUUGAGAAUGGAUGGCAUCAGGAUAAAUUCUGAGCCUACCCGUCGUAAGUUUUUAAUUAAUAAAACCGUGCUAAAACUUUUCAUCGAUUAUUUGCAAUUUUUGCAUGUUAAGAUGCUAAAGUAAUAUCUUUUCUACAGCCUCCUCCACAUGCCGUUCUUGAGAGGUCAGGCCAUGAAUUGGAGAACAGUCUAGUGGAUCAAUUCAACAAAGCAAAAUAAUGCGACCGCGGCCUAUAGCUGGCGGCUUACUGCCUAGGAUAUGCAGGUCAGAACGCCCGCCAGCCUAACUGUGAACAUUGUGCCAAUCGUAUCCGCUUUGCUCCCUAGACAAACAUUUAUCAGCGCUUCUGCGGUGUGGUGGUCUUUGCGUCAACUACCGUAGAUAUAAACUUUGUAAAAACCCUAAGUUCCUUCAAUUCAAUUGGUUAUAUCUAUUAUGAUUAGCCCAAGAACUGGACUUCCUUUGAGAUUUCUGUUGUGUUGUACGUUUGUAUACGAUUCGUGUGGCCGGCGCAGGAGUCAUCUUUCAAAAAUGGCAGAGAGGACGCAUUUCCGUCGUGCGUUGAACAAAACCAGCCUGCCUGUGGGGCAAUGCACUGACGUUCAUAAGCAGUAUAUACUAUUAACAAUGUUAAAAUUCAAAGCACAUAGUAGAAUCUUUUGCCUAUUCGUUGCCCCUUCUGUUCGUAGUAGUGAUACGCUGGGGAUAGGAUAAAUAUAGACAUGAAAAGGAACCGGAGAAUGGAAGGGAUCAGGAGAGGUCGCACUGCCGGAGGAAGCUCCCGCUGCGCAAGUAAAUCGACGAUCUCCAGAGGAGAUGUUAUUGCUUCUGCUGCUGUCGACCAAGACCCCUGCGAGAGACCACCUGACCGCUGAACCAGUCUCCCGGCCCGGACAGCUACAACACUGCAACGUGGGGCGAAGACGGGAGCGGGGCAGGUGCCAUUGGUUGAGGCGCGGCCGUGCUCGAGGUGGGAGCUUCUUGUUUCUCCUCUGUCGCAUGGCGACCUAAUGGCUAUUUCUGCUUCCAGACAAAGUUGAAACCCAGUAAUACUAUAAAGGCCCAGAUACGAAUUGGCCCGGCCCUCAUACUGUGGUAGUCGGUGUCUUGGGCCAGCGAGGCCCAUCUCCAUUUGGGUUUCACCAGCAACGUGGCAUGGGCUGCCAACAGACGAGCCCUAGUAGUGCAAUCUGUCUAUAUCUCGCAGCAAGGUCCACUGCUUUUCCAACAAGUCAACAACAGCAUGCCCUCGGUUCUCGUCCAUGUCCAGCAGGCUGCCUCUAUAUAUACGCACUCAUGCAUGGCCUCACUUUGCACUGUCAUUUGAUGAUUAUGCACUGUCAAUCUGUCAUUCCUGUGUCCCCUAGCUCAUUACUCCAUUAAUUUCCAAGCGACAAGGCAGCUGAAGAGUCGUCGUUGCCGGUUCACAGUAGGCUAGAAAUAAAGCUAGCUAGGGAUCGAAAUGGUGACGAGCUCGCUCUAGGAAUGGAAGGCGUCAGGAGGACUUGCAUGGGAAUGGUUAUUUCUUCAGCUGCAAACUCGGCCUGGAGACUAGCUGAGGCGCAGUGCAAGCGUGGUCGCUUCAAGUUGAGAUAAAGCCGCACUCGGGAAAUGGGACUUUGUCGAGCUGGGACGACUCGUCCCUUGAGUGCUCUUGGUGACUGUCCGACAGUGAACAGGCGGAUCGGUAGCCAAGCGCGUGUACCGGCCUAUCCGGCCAUCCCUCGCUCCCAGCGACUGCAAGAACGUGAACGAUAGGCCAUUGGCACUUGUAUUUUUAAAGGUGUUAACGUGCCACAUGUGUUUCAACUUCAGCAUGUAGACACUAGUAGACAGGUCAUUGCACAUGGAAAGAUUUAGUUAUGCACAAAGAGUGGAUAUCUACGCACAUUAUUUCACGGCAACGUCAUGACCACCAGUUCGCUGCUGCAUUGUACACAUUGUACCAUCUACAACUGAUCUGCCUAGCUAACUCUAAUUCUAUUUUUAAUUGAGACAUGUUAUCAAACACUUACUCGUCUAAAAAGGAAGUACAAAGAAGGCUGGAACGUUAUCCUUUACCUUUUUGUUAAAAAAAAAUCCUAGUGUCACACACUGACACACCCCAUCACGCUUGCUCGUGUACAUAUUAUGCGCCGUAAAAAAGGCAUAUAUAUAUGUAUAUAUAUAUAUAUAUUACCUCCUCCGCGGCUACCCUCCUCGCUGUCAUCAGCCUCCUUUUGUUUGUUUAUUACAUAUAGUCCCUAGUCAAUAAUGGCAAAGAUUUUUCAGAAUGGAGGGCAUUGGGAGAAAUUUUGAGACCCCCUGGGUAACUGUUGCAAUAUAAUCAUCUUCAAAAUUUCUAUCGCUUUCUGCACGUCAAGAUGCCUAAGUUAUGUCACGCUGCACAGGUUUGGGCUUUCGAUGCUUCCAACCCAUUGAGGCUCAGCAGCAGAAUUUUGCAAACUAGCAUCCCUGCAUCGGAUACAGAUAUGCUCCCGAUAUGUGUAUCAGACAUCCUCACGUUUUCCAGUCAAAUAGUUCUGAGAUGGAUAUUUCUGGGGAGCCAUGAGGGGCGCUGCACACAAGAAACCAGCUAUGACAUGCCUACCACUACCACACGUUAUCAAACUCACUCGAUCAUGACAUACAGCAUCCGUUGAACAGCUUCUGCUUCACCUGAAUGUGUGUAAUCCAAAUAUGUGUGUGUAUGUAAGAAAUUGGCAGCUAGUCACGAUGUUACGCCCACAGUCCAGCAAGGAAAUGCAAAAUCACUGGCAAGGCCUAGAAAAUACAAAAAAUAUUAACAACCACACUUUGGGCUGACUCCCUCUAUUAUUAUUUUUUUAAAAAAAGAGGUCAGGAGCUCUGGCAGAUCAUUUAAGAGAGAAGGUGAGCACCCGCGCGACCGUGCGCUCGAGCGGGCGGGCUGGCUUCCGCACCUGGGGAGCCAACCAUCCGAGCUAACGCUCGGUCUCCUCCCUCUAUUAUUUUCCAGCCUCUCUCUCUCUCUCUCGUCCUUUUCUUCUAUGCACACGUGUCAAGAAAUGAAUUGGCUAGAUGGUGCUCAAUCCGCCCUACAGCGCCGACUUCCAUGUGGCUGCUUGGUCCCAUGUAAAGAAAAUAUGUAAAUGUAACACCCGGUUUCCUGCAUACAUGGAGAACAUUGUCCUGCCUUUUGCCCCUUCCCUUCGUGUUGGUGCCACAUUAUUCAGCGUCCAAUAAAAGUUGCUGCCCUUUGCAUGACCGGAGAGAGUGUACGUGGCACGGUUGUUCUUCAAUUGAUUAUUAAGCAUAGACAUGCAUGCUGCGCUAAGGAAUUGGCGAUGUGCUAGUAGUAGGUUUAAUUUGAGAAUGGAAGGGAUCAGGAGGGCUCGCAUCAUUGUGGGAGGAAGCCGCUGCGGCACAAGUUGAUUAAGUAUCACCGCUGCAGACCAAUUGGUCUCGGCAAGUUGCGAUUGCAGACCAAGACUUAUGCAAGAAACGGCUUGAUUGGACACAGCCGAUCGGGGCUCAAACGUGUUCGGGGGCCAGGACACGGGAGUCUUCUUCUCUUCUCCGAAAGCAGGUGGCCCAAGGCGAGCGGAUCCGCCGCCUACGGCCGAGCAUGCCGCGAGCGAGAUCAAAGACUGCCACCUCCAUGCGCGCGAGGGCUUGCCUAUGCUAAGGUGGCGCGCGCGUGGGGUGCAGGCGGCACGAUAGUAUAUUAUUGCAGCCGGCCAAGUUCACUGCCCGUUCAUGCGGGCUAAGCCACGCAAGCCUAGCUACUGGCGUUAAGAUUUUUUCCCCCUUAAUUGUAAGGAGCCAAUAUUUUGCGUUGGUUAGAUUCAAGACCAAGGUUCAUAACUUGUUUUUGAAGAGAUAAGUCCGUUGCUGGUAACUUGAACAUUUGAAAGUGUUAGGUGUAACAUUUACGUUUUUCAGCUUCUACAAGGUACACCGUACCCGUCGUCUUAUAUUGCAGAUGGAGAGCUUUGGUUUAUGUAAGGUAGACAAGUUUUUGCGUGUCAGAAUUGUUAAAGAAAAGAAUAAAUACUUGCAUCUGCUGCUAGCUAGCACACCCUCCACUGCUUUUCCGACAAUCCCGUGCACUCUGUUCUUGUCCAGCAAUAAUUGACACCCGGCUGCCUCUAUAUAUACCCACGCGAAUGCAUGGCCUCACUCUGCACCUUCAUCAUAUGGUGACUAUACACUGACACGCAUGUUAGAGAUCAAAAUGGUGACGAUCGAGCUGAGCUUUGGGAACGGAAGGCGUCAGGAGGGCAUGUAUGGGAAAAGCAAUACACUCGCUUGCAAUUCAGGCCGGCCCUGCAGCCGGCUGAGGUGAAAAGAAACGACGGAGAAAGGGAUUCAGCGGCCUGGCGCGGCCAAGUUGAAUCGAAGGCACCACUACACUCAGGACAAGCACCUAAAAAAGAGAAGGGAUUUAGCGGCCCCGCGCAGCCAAGUUGAAUUGAAGGCACCACCACACUCAGGACAAGCCCCUGAAAACGAGGUCCGGAGGCUCUCGUAAAACUUCUUAAUUAAUUAAAACAGGGUCCUUAGUGAAAUCAGGGCGCCAAGCUAGUCUAUACUAGCACGACAAGUUUUCCUUUCAGAAGGAUAUCGUGAUGGAUGAGUUUAACGUGAAAAAUUGAAAUGCCUUCUCUAUCACCUUAUCUGAAUCUAGUGUACUAGUUUAGAGCAAACCAUUUCAUUCUCAACCCACCGCUAGGUCCGGCUGCAAGGCGGGCCCCCUUCCAGUCUGAGUAUAAUGAAAUAUUAAUCCAAUUAUAUCACUUUUGUAUAAAAAUGUUUACAUCUUGUAAGGAUAAGUGUUUGUUAAAAUUAUUACAAUGUUUGAAUCAGAAAAUACAUGCGCAUUGUAUACAUAUAUAUAGUACCGUCUUAUGUUCUUAUUAACAAUUCUGCCAAACUUUCUAAUUGACACAUGCUAUCAACUUUGGCACUUACUCGUCUAGAUAGGAAAUAAGAGGAACUCUACCUAUUACUGUCAAAAGCCCGGAUCGUUAUCAUGUGCCCUCUUUCUUAAUAAAAAAAACUCCUAUUGUCACACAGCCGGCCGGUGACGCUUGCGUGCGUACAUAUGUACUGCCUCAUUUGCAGCUCACUACUCACUCCUCGAUCAGCAUCCUUUUGUUUGUUUAUAGUCCCUACUGCUAGUGCUGGUUUGAUGACGAAAUACAUGGGUUAAUGCUACUGAAACAAAGGGUAUGAUGAUGAUGAAUUGCAAGAACGAGAUGGUGUGCCAGUUGUUGAAAGGCGGCCGGGUAACCAUGUCCAGAAGAAAUAACGGCAAAGAAUUUUCGGAAUGGAGGGCAUCAGAAUAAAUUAUGAGACCAGCAGGCUGGGUGUUGGAGUAUAAUCAUCAUCCAAAUUCCUAUCACUCUUCAGCUGAAGAUACCAAAAUCGUGUCAUACACUUAUAUUGUAUUGGAUGAUCUUUGUAUACAAACACUUUCACUAUUUUUGAUCUCAUAAAAUGAUUCAGAUAAAUUCUGGGAUGCCUGCCAGCUGAUACUUCCGGGGAGCCACAUGAGAGGCAGUGGAUGCUAGACCUGCCUUUACCUAAUAUCAUUAUGGAAGAAUGGAAGCUGGUUUUUUGUAAAUCGUACUCAAUCUAGAGCGUGCAACAGCGUACAGCAUUAUAAGUUGGCUAGGUCAUGAUAGAGCAUCGAUCUCCAGGUUCUCAGCAAGCCAACACACACACACCGUAAAAUUGUGUAACUCGAAUGUGUGUGUGUGUGUGUGCAAGAAAUUGGCAGCUAGAUCAUUUGUUCCCUUCGUGUUAGUUGGUGCUACAUUAAAAAAAAUAUCCAUUAAAAGCUGUGCAAAUUAAACAUGGUCCUGUUCUGCUCCUUCCCUUCGUGUUAGUUGGUGCUACAUUAAAAAUGUCCAUUAAAAUCUAAUACGCUUUAAUUUGCAUGAACAGAGAGAGCGUGUAUCUUCUCUAUUAAUACAUACUCCAUAGACCGGCAGGUAACUUGUUUGGUUCUUUUCCAAUAAAAAAAAAGACCAGAGAGAGUGCGAGACGGUUGCUAUCCGCCAAUUGAUAUUUGAGCUUGAGUUGCUGGGGAUAAACAUAUAUAGACGUGCCGCUAAGUAAUUGGUGAUCUGCUCAAAUUUAAUUUGAGAAUGGAAGAGAUCAGGAGGACUUGUAUUGCCGGAGGAAUUCAACCAUCCGCGUGCAGAAAUUGGUUAACGAUCUCCACAGGUGCUCCAGUACCUGUGCCACUUGCUUUGGUAGCCCAAUGCAAGGCCCCAGCAAGAAACCACUUGCUUUGGUUGACUGAAUCAAUAUGUACAGGAUGAGCACAAUAAAUAUUUGGUUGGUUGCAUUAACAUAUUUUAUAUUAGUUUGAAUUAAACAGACAAAUACUAAGAUCAUAUCUAAUUUUCUUGAAUCCAUAAUAUAUUACUCAUUUUAACAUAUUAAGCCUUAAUCGACUUUGAAAUAUACUAAUAUGCCUUAAAAUAUGCUAAUCAUUAGCAAUGCUAUACGUACGACCGGGAAAACCGACUCACGUACGACCGACGUCUUCUUUUCACAGCAUCAUUAAGCAAAGCGGCCAGCUCUUAACCUCUUACAUGGGCCCGAUACUAAGAAGCACAGGCCCAGACCCAUCAUUAGCUGUAUCUGACGUACAACGCUUGAGUAUUCUAACCCUAAUAUCGUUGCUUUACUACUUAUUAGCAUUACGAUACUAAUUUACAUAGCUGAAUCUAAAAUUCUGUUUACCUUUGUAGGGAAAAAAUGAUGUCAUAGACUUUCUGUCCCAAAACCAGGAAUAAAAUAAGAAGAACAAUCGGAACCCGGAAGAUAGUUCGUUUCAUACUGGUUUGGAACUAAUACUUGUAAAUUUCUCUCAUCGAUCAAACAAUUUGCUUCUAGCUUAGGACAUAAUUGUAUCUUCAUUUUUCUGUAUGCAAUCCUCAUGUGAAAGAAUUCUGAACAAGUGUUUCGCUAUGAUCUUGGUGCCAAAUUAUUGCUGAAUUUGUUGUUUCAUUCAAUAGAAAUAGUAGACAGUCUGAAUGAGUAGACAAAUGUGGCAUCGGGUCUGGUACCACACUAGGCCUGUGCGGCUUGGCAUCAGGCCUGCUACGAGACUAGUACGGCAAGAGGUAGGAGCUAGCCGCUUAGCUUAAUGACGCCAUGAAAAGAAAACAUCGGUUGUACGGGAGUCGGCUCCCCCGGUCGUACGUAUAGCACGGUUGAUUAGCUAAUACCAUCAUUAAUUUACUAAUAGACUGCAUCUCACGAGCCUGGCUUCGGAGAAACGGAUUUCAAUCUCGUUUCGCGGAGCCAGGAUCGUCGGCAUGCCUCUACCCAGACAACCUAAACGUCCAGCUGUUGAUCCUUAGAGCCUGGUUAAGGCAUAUAUGCAGGAAAACAAACGCACCCUAAGAUGAUACUAACUGAAAGGAUGUUUAUAUUUUAUAGACCUAAGUACCUUGCUUUUGGAUGGCAUGUACGAUAUUUUUUUUAUAAAAAUGAUGACAUGUGCGAUUGGCUCACGUGAACUAACCAUGAUUGGAUACUUUGACUCGUACUGGUUAGGAUCAACCUAGAGAUCCAAAUGCUAAUUAACACAUCUAGUAGCAGCAAGAAAGAAGAUAAAGCAGAUGCGAACCAUGUCGUGAUCAUGAUCAAAUAAAGGCUUAGGCAGCCUGAAACAGCGGUGCAUCAGAACUCAAAGCAAGCUCGAUCGCUCUCUCUCUCUCCCAACCAAGGAAAACCACCAAACAUGUUCACCAACCCUGUGUACCCGUCUUCUCCAGCAUUACAUUUGACACCAACAGGCUGCCUCUAUAUAUAGUUAUAUACACAUCACAUACAUUGGUCUCACACAUUGCAUCGUCGUCGUCAUUUGGUGGUUGCAUACUGUCACAUGCAUCUGUCAAUCAAGUCAUUACUCCAAUCCAUCUUCUAGUGACAUGGCAAGAAGGCUGCAGUCUAGUACUAUGAUUAGAUCAAUCAGUGAGUAAUUUGCAUUCAGUCGUCGUCGUUGCUUGACAGUAGGCCAGCAGAUAGCAGACAUGGAUCGAUCAUAUCAAACGGUGACUUUUUUUUUUGGGAGGAUAUCAAACGGCGACUUACCAGAGCUUUGCAUUGGGAACGGAAGACACUAUGAGGGCUUGCGUGGGAAAGGUAACAUAUCCGGCAGCAAACUGGCCACGAGACAGGCCGGCGGAAUCGGAGGCGCGGCCACUGAGGUGGAGGUGCGGCCUCACUCGAUCGGGACAUGGGAGUUUCUCGCGUGUCCUCGGGCGCCCCCUGCCUCGUGGUGACUGCCGCAGUGGGCAACCUAUAGUAGGGACGUAGGGUCGGCAGCCAGCAAGCCAAUAAACGCAGCGCAUGGGUGCUGCCUCCCGGCCAUCCCCCGCUCCCGAACCUGUGGAGACGGUCGAAAACGACAGGUGCCAUGGCUUACUUGUAAUCGGCGAACUAGGAGUUGAGGAGCCGGAGUCAUCUGUACGCGCUGCAUUGUAAUCGGACACAUUCGCUGGCCAUGUAUUCUUACCAGUUAAAACCCUCCUCUCCGAGAGGAGGAACCGCACAUGAUUGUAUGGACAACGUCAGGCCCGUACCUAAGAUUUGGAGGCCCUGGUGCGAAAAUACCAAAUGAGGCUCCUAUAAUAAAGAAAUAUAUAGAUUACCAAAAUUUAAAGCACGUACUCCAUUAUUAAAUAACAUAUUUUUUACACUACUAAGAACCACAAAAGGCAUAUUUUUUAAAUACUAAGAAGUACAAUGGGUAUACUCCCUCCAUCCAAAAAAUAAGCUAUUAAAAUAUCUAGAAAAUAAGUUAUCUUACCCUAGAAAGUGCAUGUGUGUGUAAAAAUAUUUGCUCAUAUUUAUUUUUAAAAUAAAUAUGAGAAAAUAUGGUAAUUUUAUCUUGUUGUUAAUCUUUUGUAGAAUUUAAUAACUUGUAUUUUGGAAUGGAGGAAGUAGAUGCUAAAAGAGUAAAAGGAUAAUCAUUCUUAUUUAUAUCUUUUUUAACUUCUACUAGUAUCACACAUGGCCGCGAAGGGCGACGAGCCGGCGAGGCGUCCGUCCCUGAUAUCCCAGCAGCUGUGCAUGGGCUAUGGCGUCUCGUGUGUGGCCUGUCCACCUGUGGGCUAAUUUGAUCUUUGAAACUUUGAAGGAUGUGGCCUGGUGCAGUAGCUAAUUCACAUAGAAGCUAAUUAACUGCUACGUAACUAAUAAUUAUUAACUAAACGGGCCCUCUCAAAAUUGGAGGUAGUCCCACUUAAACCGUGCGAUCGACGGGCCUGUACAUCAUGUGUAUUAUGGCAAAAUGCGAAUGCGUUUUUAAUUUCUAUUCAGAAUUCAUGGCAAGUUGGCAAUCUAUACAUUAAUCUUUGCUCACAAAAUUAAACUAGCUACGGAGUAGUAUUUUUUGCAAGCCACCAACUCUACCUAUCUGUGCCUUAAUUCUGGUUGUGUACUGGUCCAUAUCAACUGAUGACCCUGCCUGCCAUCUUGAGAGUUUUCUACGUGAAAGGAAUCAGUGCUUGUAGUCUAAAACGGGGUGAAAUAGACAACUUAAAAUCUUAACAUAUGGUUUGAACUAGUUUGCACAAAACGUAAACUAGAACAAGCUAUUUAGAUGUGCAAGUAUGGUUCUUCCAGUGACAGAACCUCAUCCCAAAGAGUUUUGCAACUUAUAGCCAAUUCUACAAGAUACUAUUCUAUAAAAAAGUAAAGGCACACAAGUUGCAAGUAUGAAAUGUGGAAACGUAAAGGAGGGGAUGAGGGGAAGCAAACUCUUGACGCGUGAUUUAUCCUGUAGUAUCGGUAGGCACAAAGCCAUCCCUAAUUCACGUUGUUAAAGCACUCACAAAGAGCAUUAUUUCCCGAUCACCAAAUCUCUUCCGAGAGCACCUCUUGACUUGCCAUAAAGGCUCGGCCACUGAGGCUCACGCCAAAUCUAUGGGUCACCAUGAUGCCGCCUUCACUACGGAGCUUCCCACGAAUAAGGGUCUCCUCGUACCCGCACAAAGCCAUCGUUGCUGCUCCACACCAAGCCGGAGGAUCGAAAACUUGCCAGCGAGCCACGAAAACUCUAAGGGGCUGGCACACCAACAUACAAGCUUAAAAUUCACUUAAGAACCAGCACAAGGUUAGAACACCUUGCUCUCAUACUCUCUCUAGAACUAGCCUAGUAUUACACCUUACAGAGCUUGUGCUAAACCUAACAAUUUGAUCAAUAGCUAUUUGGUUGGCUUGGAUAACUUCAGCAGAGUUUCUGUAGCUUCUCAAGAACUCCAGCAAUCUCAAAUAACCCGGGAUGAGGCCUUAUAUAGGCUAGAGGGCAGCUCAUAGCCGUUGGUUGCUUUUACCAAAAGGUAUAAAGCAUCGGUUAAACCGGUCGCCACCGUUGGUUUAACCAGUCACAAUCACCCGUUGAACUUCAAUAGCCUUCUCCUACUGACAUCAUUUGCACCGACGCCCGUCGGUUUAACCGGUCCUUAAAGAUUCCUCAGCUAGGCUACUGUACACUCCUAUGGUACUGAGUAAUCCCAGCACUAAUGCACCGACGUCUCUGCUAGGUUGUCAGUAUAAUCGGUGCUGGAGCAUGUUUUCUCAAGACCUUUUUGGAGCAACACAUGCGUACUGAGUAACCAACUGAUCCUUGCACCGACACCACUGAGCCAAGCGUCGGUUUAACCGGUGCUACUAGCAUUUUCUGCACUGCAUCGUUGUUGCAAUUACCAAUGCACCAACCCAUAAUUCUGGGACCGUAGAUUUAACCGCAUGUAAUCAUGCUACAGCCUUAUCCAAUUCAUCUCUACAUUUUCACUACAACUUGGACAUCUUAACAGCGAUUUGGACUAUCUUGUAUAUGGAUUGAACUCCAUCCAUGGGAUCUAAAAAUCUUACAAACUUGGGCUCACAAACUCGUUAGUUCUAUUGACUAUAUUGUCAUACAGUUACCAAAAUCAUAAUCAUGAUCUAAUAGGACCAUAUUCCUUACACUAUAUCAUGUAUAGUAUACUCUUCACUCUAUAUAGUGUCUUCGCAUAAAACUUGGGGCGUACUAUAAGCUAAGAAAACGAGCGACGAUGAGUCAGAUGACUGCAUGUAGGGAAUAAUAUGAAGCAUUCCUUGUUGACAUGUGGUUAAGAAUAUGGCGACGAGGUAGCUAUGCGAAUGGAAGGCAUAAAGGAAAACAAUAUUAGAAGCAGUCGGGGACUAGGUAGCUCAAAAUUCAACACUAGCAUACGGCAGUGUCCAUCAUAGAUCAUAUGUGAUCAUACUUCUCCAAGAGCUGCGAGCUAUGUGUAGUUUAUUUAGUUAAAUAUCAGUUUUCAUAUCAAUCGUCGUCGAGUUCAGUCCUAUUAAUUAUCAGCAAUUCCGCACCACAUUGAACCGGACAUUCAGCAGUGCUAGUGUUUCAGCCAACUUUAGGUCUGGCGUUGCAUGUUAACUACAGAAAUCGAUCAGAAGCUACAUAUUGGCAAAGCGUUAUCGAUCCUUAGGUGAAUGACUCAACUUUGAAAUACGCCUGGCCGUCAGGACGGACGAGCGGUGAUCAUUGUAUAUAUUGAUCAAGAUACUCAAGAGCAUGUAUUACAUGGAGUGUGCCCUUUCGGUCAUUGGUAUUGUGCCUGAUCUCCUACAUUACUUCUAGUGUUCCUAGGAAGUGUGACGCUGAGCCAUCAACCUGACGCGCACACCACACCAGCUCUCUGUUACAACAUUACUUUUCUGUAAUGAAAUUAGAUAAAAUUUAGUAAAGCUACCUACAAGAUGCAUAUAGUCGUUCUAGCCUAAAACAUCACCACAAUGCGGCAAAUAGUCUCUUGACAAACUUUUUUUUUAAAAAAAAGAAACUCUAAAGAGCAAAUUUAUUAUUGAAUAAUUGCGCCUAUGUCUGGCAAAGACUUUCAUCACAUGAGCAAAUCCUAUAUGGUUUCCAGAAAAUUGGCACUAUAUAUGGUUUCCACACAGUCCAACAUAUAGCCAUUACUUCCUACCUACCCUAGUUACUCUUCUAAUGUUAUCUAACAUGUAUACAUGUAGCCUCCUCUAUAUAUAUAAAUACACACAUGGUUUUAGCUUGAUCUUUCAUAAUGUGUGGUGGUAUUGUCUCACAUUUCUCCGUUACGCAUCUUUAGCUGUUCCGGUUUAACCGGGACAACAAGGAUUUUCCAACCGGAACAAAUCAACAAUUAUGUACUAGUGUGCUACCUACUCUACCUUGCAUGAUACGAGAGUGGCAAUGUAUGCUCAUGACUAGAAGAGCACUCACGUUUAUGUGGGAGUAAACACGCGUGAUGAGAAAGAAAACAAUUGGUAGAAGUUUGAGGAACGGAAGGCAUCAGGAGAACUUGCCCAAGAAAAAUAAUGUAUGUGAUUAGUUACGCAUCUUUGACUGGCGCGUCUUUCAGCUAUUGCAUCAGAUCAGAGGAGGGACCCCAGGACCUUGGACAGGUCUUCCAGGUUGCGGUCUACCUGGGCAUUGUAGGUGAAUCGAACGAUGUCCUGCCGCCCUUGCCUUGACAGCAGAGGAACACGUCCUUCGAUCGACGACAAAGGUGCCGCUGUCGAUUCUUCGCAGGCACUGUCCCGACCGGAACAGAUCGUCGAGGAUGGCGAAGAAGCCCCGGAUAACGGCCUGAAUCCGGAGAGGCAGCAAGCGGACCACCGAGGGAACAGGCGGAUCUCCGGCUCUGAACCGGCAGUGCUCCCAUGACAACGAUCCACGUCGGCGAAAUGCUUUUCCAUUGGUACAGACUGGAGAUUGAUCGAGAAAGAACAACGAUCAAAUCAAGAAAUGCAAUCUCAAAGCGCUCAUGUUGAUGUGUGGGGUAAAUAAUAUGUGUGAUGGAACCAGCCCCAUUCGGACCGCCCUACGAGGUACAACGCCGCGUCCUUCUCGGUAGUGGUGUUGAGGCGCUCCCCUAGCGGGGAGCUUCAGCUCAUCAGGCGCGGGAGGACCAGCUACAUGUACUGCCCCAAAGCCAGGAUCUCAUACUUCGGCUUUCUUGAGCCUGCUACCUAACGAGUAGGAAACAGAUAGACGAACACACUCCUGUUCCACUUCGAGUAUGUACCUGAUUACUAGUACUCUUGAGUGAGUGAUGAGUGAAUUUGUUGUUGAUGAGGAGCACAUACAACGACAGUGCUAGUUUGUCUCUGUCCAAAUGUGUAUAUUUCAUUCAUAUACAGUUCAGAAUAAAAACUGACAAGUUUUUAUAUUCAUUCAUAUAUAUAUAUAUAUAUAUAUAUAUAUAUAUUGGUGUGUCUCUUCUGUCAACAGUAGAAGUAGGAUACAAAUAUAGGAUAUCCAUGACAUGGAUGAACAUCACGGUGUUGCUACUUGUGGAACAUUUAUGGACAAUGGCUGGCUGGCUGGCUGGCUUUGUUUCAGCAUGUAUUCUUCAUUCGGCUUCCACUACUCACGAUCUUACCAACAACUGACAGCCUCUCCCCUCUCCUACAUAUUACAGUAGUAGUUACUUCCUCCACUGCUUGGCCCAGCUCCUGUCGCUAGUCGCUAUGCGACUGUACUACCAGUCUACCACCACCACAGUCCAGUGUCCACAUCAAUCUAGUUCCAGUUGCGGUUCGCAUAGUGAGGCGAUUUGAGAAUGGAGGGCAUCGGGACGAAUUCUUAGACGCGCGACCAAAGUAAGUGGUGGCCAUCAUCGAGAUUUCUGAAUAUUUUUUUGUUAACUUCUGCAGAAGAUACAUGUCUAAGUAGUGUUUAGAUCCAAAGUGCAAAAGAGCAAAAGGACAAAAAUUUUGCCAUUUGCCAAAAGUGGCAAAAGUUUUGCCAUUAGGGGUGUUUGGAUCCAAAUGGCAAAAAUUUUGGCAAAAGCUCAUUUAAACAUCUUUUCUCCCUCUCCUAUCGCCUUUCCCGCCACCUCUUUCCCGCCAUUUCAUACAGAGUGCAUAAAAUUGACAAUCCAAAAUUUAUACAGUCCAAACCAAAGUGCAUACAAUUAUUUAUCCAAAAUUUAUACAGUUCUAUAUAAAGUUGCUGUUUUCUUUUGCUAUCUGUUUUUGCUGUUUUCUUUUUAUCAUAGGGUGUUUGGGUCCAAAUGGAAAAAAAGAGCAAAUUUUUUACUAUUUGCCCUUUUGCCAAAGGAUCCAAACAGGCCCUAAAAGUUAUAUACCUGCCAUUUCGCGGUUGCAGAGGUUCAGUCUUCCCGACCAGAACGCUCUGCAUAUCAGAGAUCUACGAGGAUGACACCGACGGAGCCCGGGUGGGCGACUUGUGCAUGCUCGAUGGCUUGCGACCACGCGUGAUUGUCCGCAGCUGGCAGAGGACGAGAGUUACGUUGGGCGCCCGCGUGAUCUCUGCUUCGUUGUUCAGAUGCAUAUAAAUGCCCAGCGUUGGAGAAGAGACUCGGAAUACCAGCAGCGCGCAGCUCAGGUUCGAGGCGAUGCAGACUGACGAUGUUGGUGGUUAUCGCUAAUCGGCAUGCACCGCUUGAGAACGUGAGGACGUGGAACUGCAGCUGUGUUGUAAUUAGUGUGUCCAUGUUGACAAAAUUUGUGAAAAGGUCUUUGGCUUGUGAUUCGUGGCUCCAGAACUCUAUUUCCUAUCUUAAUGAAGGGCAGAGCUCCAGCUCCUGCCAAUUUGGUUCAAAAAAAAAGUUCAUACUAUACACCCCCAUAUCUGUGUUUUAUGAUCUGGAAGCUUGAUUACACACAAUCAACUCAUCAACCCAUGGAUUUUUCCUUGUAAAAGACAAGAAGACAGUGGGGUUCGAAUUGUCAUGUAAGACAGUAUCUAUGUGAGUAAUUAAAAUGGACUUUUUCCUCUAGAUAGUAAACUCAUGUGAAAGGCCUAAUAUUAAUAUAUUAUCACGUUUUACAGUGUAUGACUGCAAGUUUCAAGUUCCCUCGGAGGCAUGGUGACCAUCCUAAUUUUGCUUCAUCAUAAUUCAUUUGUUUCAAAAGGAAAAACUUAGUUCGGUGCAUAUCUUUUGAUACAUGAUACUAGGAUAGACAGAAAUGGUUGAACAUCCUAAUUUUGCUACUUCUAGAACAUGGAUACUCCGUAGAGUAGUUGCACACCACGGCAGGCUGGCUUUCUUUCUUUCUUUCUUUCCUUUUUCCGCAUUGCUGUGGUUGUUGAGUUGUAUCAUAGACACGGUGCACGUAUUCAUUUGUUUCCAACAACUGCCAGACUCCCCCCUCCUACUUACUCACCUGGCCAUGGUCGUGAUGUACACAUUAGUUACUUCAUGUUUUCAUCCACUCCUCUUUGCUCAGCUCCUCCAUACUAUGCGACUGUACCGCCACUGCAGUCCACGAUCCAGUUCGCGUCAGUCUGAAAUCUGAAUAGCGAUGCUCUAUUUGAGAAUGGAGGAGUAGAGCUAGAAUGCACCAGGGCCCAGGCCACGAUCUCUUCGUUGUUCAGAUGCAGAGGAAUUACCCCGCGUUACAGAAGACUCUCGGUGGCUACAAUGAAGUUUGCAGCAGACGGGUUGUAUCGUGAUUGGCAUGCACAGCUUCUCGAUGAGACGAUGAUGUAUGGAUGUCUCCUGUGGCUGGCUGAUGUCUUGAGAACGGCGCGGCAGGCAGAACGUAGAAAACCGCAGCUGUGCUGGAAUUAACGGGCUCAUGUUCUGACCGAACUGUUGGAAUUAACGGUAGUUAUUAGGCUGUGCUGCGACGAGCUUGGGGAACGGAAGGCAUUGGCAGAACUGGGAUGGGAAAGGUAAAGUGUUCAGCAUGGAGUUUAGUUAUAGCUUACACAUAGGUCUGAACUAAUAAUGUAAAUAAACGGCCAAAUAACAUCACAUUUUUGCAGGAACAACUGCACAUUUCGACGCCUGCAGCUUGAUUAUAUGUAAAAUUCCUUAUUUGACACCGGGAUAAAUCUCAAUUUCUUCUUUGCCCCCGAAAUUUUUUCCCCCUUUUACGGUACCGAGUUACUGACUCUUAACGUCCAUUCUUAUUUGAUAUAUUUCCUUCACUCCCGUCAGUUAAGCCUGGUGAACAAUAACCGGUUGAUUCUUUUUAUUUUUUUUCUUAACCAAAACGGCCUCCAAAUCACCUCCCAAAAAUCAUGAAACUUUAGUUAGUCUGCUUGAUGCCACUAGCUCUCAAGCGUGAUCAGAGAAUGGAGUACAUUUAGCAGCCAUGGGCCAGGCUGCCUUGCCGUCAUACUCCCAACCAUGCUAGUUUUCUAUCUGAAUCGAGCAUUUAAAUGUGUACAUAUAUAUAUAUCAACUCGUAUGUAGUAGGAUAUGGACAUAUAGGACAGAGGUGACAUGGUCGCACAUGAAACCUUGUUUCGAAAUCUGAAACAAACAGGAGAACCAGCAUCUCUUAGCAAAUCGCAAACCAAUGUGUGUGUGUUGUGUGUGUAUGGUACCAGUACCAGCGAGGGAGGUAUCAGGUAUGGCCCCUCGUAAUGGGAAAAAUAUAAUGAGCCAUACUGCAUGGCACAGCAGAAGCUCCCAUAGCCACCUAACAUAGUAAACAUGCCAAGGAAUUGCAUGUGCAUUGGUUACCAACAGUAGAUCUGCUAGCCUCCUCCCUGGCCUCCUACUUAACUGAACUGACCGACAGGCAACUUCCAUCUCCAUGCAUCCACGGCUCCACCCAUCUUCCCAGCUCCUCUCAUGUGACAACACCACUGCUGCAGUCCACGAAUGUACGUGCUCCGGUUACUGUUAGUCUGAACAAAUAGCGAGCAAUUUGAGAAUGGACGGCAUCGGGACAAAUUCUAAGACGUGCGACCAAAGUAAGCGGUUACAUAUGUGAUUGAGUGAGCAUUGUUAAAACUUUGUUAACUUCUGCAUGAAGCAGACAUCUAAGCCAGCUUGUUCCAGGGAGGUUUGAUCUUGGAAAGCAGGAUGCUUUGAAUGUCCAAUACCCACGAGCAUGACGGUAGCAGCUAGGCAGGUGGCCGGCGUGCAGGCUCGUAGAUGUCAUGGUGACCCUACUGGAACCCGCAUGCGCCGGCGGCCACCAUCUACUUCCGGCACCGUCGAGACGGCGCCACGGCGAGCAGCACCGACAUGGGGACCACCGGUCGACACCGCGGGCGCCCGCCGGGUCAAGGAGCUGCACCGCGUUCGCGACGCCGCGCUUGUCCCUCCGGAUCAGCUUCUGGCACGCGCCCGACGAUGCCAGGAGCGCGGCGUCGCGCUCGGCCACGGGCUUGGCCUCCAACAUCCACAUAGCCGCGGCACGACGGCCUCCAGCUCGUGCGUCGUCUUGCCGCCGCAGGCAUUGCCGGAGAGCUCGGCAAGCGCCAGCGCGGCCUCGGUGCGGGUACCUCGCCCCUGGCUGGCCUACUACGCGCCGGCGCCCCUGGCCGGGGCGUCCCCGCGCGCUGGCGGCUGGCUCUGGCUGGGUCGCGCUCCCAUGCCGCUGGCUGGCCGGUACCCGACCCCCUUCCCAGGAGCCGCCGCCGUCCUGGAACCGCCGCCGCCGCUCGCAGUAUCGGGGAGAGAGAGGGUCAGGAGAGGGGUCUGGAGGGGGAAAACGGGACUGGGGGUAUGGGUGUGAAUGGACGAUGGGUACUGUUGUCUUUUCGCACUAUUUUGACUUUUUUUAAUUCUUUUAUUUCAGAUCCUCCCAACAGAGUCAAAAGAUGCGGCAAACAGACCCUCCCUUUUCAAAAAAUAUAGGUAAAAUCACAAAGUUACUGAAAGUGAGGGUAAAAUUACAAUUAGCAUUUAAAGUUAGGGUAAGAACACCAAUUUUCUUUGAUACGUCACCGAAAGCUAGCUGCAAAUUGGGAUUUACGGCAGUGGCAGCCCCUACCUUGGAAACAUGGAGAUAUACCACUGCAACUACUCUAGUUUAACUCACCUCGCCAUGCUCUUGUACAUAUAUUACUUCCUGCACUGUCGGCCUAGCGACUACAUAUAUUGCGACUGUUUCUGAAUGUAGAUGUUGAGUGUUACCAAAAUAGAGGGAAGAUGAUGAGUUGCAAGAAUACAGGCCAUGACAUGCUGACAGCAUAAGAUAUGCUCUUUUCUUUUCGACUGUACUGAAGAUUUAGGCUAUGUAGUGUAGAAAGUUUUUCGACAGCACGCACUGCACGUUUCAUGAAGAGAAUAUAGUUAAAAGAGAAGAGUAACAAAGUGAUCUGAGAAUGGAGGGCAUCAGGGCAAACUUUGAGAUCAGCAGGCAAAGUAAGUACUAGUUACAAAAGCAUUCUUUGAGAAUGAUCUUUAACUUAGGCAAAUUGGGUCUAUGUCUUACCUAUCAUUUAUAUAUGUUUUUGCAGUUGUAGCUGCUUGCAUUACGACAUUUGGAGGAGAUAAUGUGGGGUGAUGGGGCUUUUCUUGUCCCAUACAUAGGCAGCGACGACUUACAGCGCAAUGAACUAGCAUUUUCAUGGGAACCUUUACACACUAGCAACGGUGAUGAUGACCGGUUGGGGGCAAUGGGGUGGAGUUCGCCGCCCUUCACGUACACGUUUGACGGCGGCUUCGACAAUGGAGCAAGAUAGAGGAAGAUAGGUUGAGACAGCACCACAAGCCUACAAGUUUCGGGAGCCUCCAUUCAAGCAAAUCACUGGUCCUCCUACACUAGAAUAAUAGUUUGCUAGUUUCAAGUGAUAAGGAGAUCGGGCUGAUGUGAAGAAUGGUAGUCCAGCAGGAUCAUGUUCAAUCAGCAUAUCACGAUCACACCAUGGACUUUUCCUCGUAAAAGAAAAGGAAAAAAAUAAAUCAAGAACUCAAACACUGCAUGCAAGGGGUCGCACUAGUUCAGAAGACCAGUGCGUGUGUGUAGUACCAGUACGGCAGUACCACAAAGAAUCCAGUAGCCACCUUCACCUAACACAGUACACAUUCAUUGGAAAUGCGUACAUUGGUCAGAAACUAGGGAUGCGUGUAGUCCUUGUAAAGAAAUAAAAUAUGUUCGUUCAGAAAACGAAUUAGAUCUUGUUUAGAUGCACUCAAAAUUUCAAAUUUUUACACUCUCUCUCCAUCACAUCAAUUUUGGGACAUAUGCAUGGAGCAGUAAAUGUAUGUAAAAAAAUAACUAAUUGCACAGUUUAAUUGUACAUCACGAAAUGAAUCUUUUAAGCCUAGUUAGUACAUGAUUAGAUAAAAUUUGUCAAAUACAAACGAAAGCGCUACGGUACGAAAUGUUAUAAAAUUUUGCAAUCUAAACGGGACCUUACUACAUAUGCAUUGGUCACCAUCAGCUGCCACUGCCAACCUCUCACCUCCUACUUUAACUCACCUGAUCGAGCAUGCUCGUCUACAUAUACUGCUACUUCGCUCCGCUCAUCGUCCCAGCUCCUCUUGUGUGUGACCAUCCAACUGCUAUCUGAAGGCCACGUAUUUCCAGUCAGUGCUAUUAGUCUGAAUAUACAGUGAGGCGUUUUGAGAAUGGAUCGGAGGGCACCGGGAAAAAUCCCAAGACGUGCAACCAAAGUAAUUGAGCGGUUAUGAUCUAUGAUCGAGCGAGCAUCGUGUCGAAUUUUGUUAACUUGCUUCUGGACAAGAUAUCCAAGUCCUAUGCACUUGUCAUUUCGGCUGUGGCAGGGGAUGUUUCAUCUUACGAAGCUGGACGCUCGGCGCCUGCGGAAUCCACAAGCAUGACCGCAGCGGCCAGGAAGGCGGCCGGCGAGAAGGCUCGUAUAUCCGCGAGCAGGGGAAACAAUCGGAGCUACGUGACGACGGUGGUCUCCUCUCUGUUCAGGUACAGUAAACUCUCUGAACACAUGAGAGACUCCUGAUUCCGGCGGUAUGUACCAGACAGAGCUCGAGUUUGAGCCUGGCCGAGAACAAACGCAGAAAAGAAACAAUUAACGACAAUACAUACAGGAUACCACGGCGAAGUAAUACAUACAGGAUGCUGCGAAGUAAUGAUCGAGUUGAAACGAAAAUUGAGCGUGCCAACUGGUUUUAUGUACAUUAUUAAUACGAAUAUGGAAUUGGACGGUCAUCAUUUCAUCUGGAUAUCUAUCUAUCAUACAGCUAACAUAACAUAACAUAACAUAACAUAACAAAUAAGCUAAUCCUUGUGGAUCUGACAUUUUAACCCGUCGCUUAGUCUCUCGUCGGCUGAUCUGCUCAGCGCACAAAGCGUGAAUGAGGAAUUAGUCAUAUGAUCUUUAUAUUACCCGGGCGCAUUUGCAAGCAUACAGUGUUUGUGCUAUGUAGUUAUACUAAUACAAAUGGACUGCUUGCACAGUUGCAUAUGCAAAAAGCUAGGCAGCAGUUAGGUUGCACAUGUACUAUCAUUGACGACGACGACGACAGCAGCAGCAGCAGUUGUAUCUAUUCUAUUUUUUUCUAAAAAGUUACCCACCUUAUCAUUAUGGAAAUAGUCUAAAUUAAACCACUAUUUAUAUCUAAAUUACCCACCUCUAUGUUUAUGAAAAAUGAUCUACAGUAGCUCAUAAUCUUCUUGUAAAUUAUUACCCACCUCUACCAGUAUGGAAGAUAAUACAAAGUAGACCCUAAAUUUGUAUCUAAAUUACAUACCCCUAAAUUUAUGUAUAAAUUUCCCACCUCUAUGACAAUUAAUUACAAUAAUCAUAAACUAAUAAAUGGCACCUAAAUUUACAACUGCGCAGAGGUUUUCUUAAAAAAGUUCAGGAAUGUUAUAGUAUAUGGACAAAGCGAUUAGUAGAAAAUAUAAGUGGGGUACUGACAUGGCAUGUAACCUAAGAACAAACUAGGGGCAAGAAACUAGAUCGGUUAGUUCCUUGCUUCUAGAAUGUGUAUAAUUGCUCUCUUCGUUUUCCACAUUGUUGCAAUAAUAUGAUCACCCAGAGGUAUCUACUUUCAGCCGGUACCAUGUGGACUUUACAAAUUCGAAUUCAUGGCACUGGCAGCCCCUGACAUGGGGGUUUCGGACCAACUGCUCUAGUGGUCUCCUGAACAUAGUACAUCACUACAUCAUCCUCGAGUCAUUUGUUACUAACAACUACCGGCCUCUUCCCUCCCUCUAUUUAACUGACCUGACCAUGCUCGUGUACAUAUACUACUUCCUCCACUGCUCGGCUUAGUGACUGCAGUAUCGUUACUGUUUCUGAAUGUAGAGGUUGGGUAUUACCAAAAUAGAGGGAAGAUGAUGAGUUACAAAAAUAGGCCAUGACAUGUUGACAGAUGAAGACAUGCAUGCUCGAUCUUUUCAUUUUAACUGUAGUGAACAUAGACUCGUAUAUGGUUAAGAAAGUACAAGGCGAUUGGAGAAUGGAGGGCAUCGGGACAAAAUCUGAGACGAGCGGCCAAAGUAAGUACUAGUUACAAGAGCAUUCGGUCUGUAUAUGUGAAUCAUACACUCACACUUGACGUUCCUAUUUGUUACAGGCGAGUUUUGGUGUUCCCUUGCGAAACCCUCCUGAAGGUUGAGGUGAGGAAGGGCAGCGAAACUGCAGGUGGUUGGCGUCCACUUGCUGGAGAUCGUUGGUGGCGAUUCGAAGAGUUAAAGAGGUAGGUAUUGCGACGCGUGGUCUCCUGUUCUUUUCCUUUUGCUACUAGAUGAUAGGCAAUUCUAUAAAAAAAUGGACAGAUUAAUUUCAGUAGGUGGCUGCCACCUAUCCUGUUUGAUAAUUGGUUAGAAUUGGUGAACAAGGUAUUCUCUUUCCAGUUUGUAAAUUGCCAAGACAAAAUAAAGUGGAAAUGGACCGGGAAUGGAAAAUUUUCCACCAAAUCAGUCUAUGAACACAUAUCUAGUUCCGGAUCUAGUGGGGGCUUUAAACACAUUUGGAAAGCCAAGUUGGCCUACAAGAUUAACAUCUUUACAUGGCUCCUAGAAAACAAGGUCGUCUUAAUAAAAGACAACAUGGUGAGGGAAAAAAUGGCCCGGGGUUCUAAGUUGUUCCUUCUGUUCUCAAAUUGAAACAGUGCUUGUUCUUUCAAUGCCCGGUGGCCAGAGUUACUUGGGGGAUUGUGGCGCUCUGUCUGGGGGCUUCUGAUAUACUCCCUCAAGACACUUCGUAAUACAGGGUGUGGGUGAAAAAAUGGCUGCCUGGUGGGAAACAGUCUAUCAUCUUGGCUCUGCCGCUAUAUGCUGAGCGAUCUGGAAGUGCCGAAACAAAGCAUGCUUUGAUAAGAAACUGAUCAAACAUCCGACUGACAUAAUGUUCCAUGCGUGUUCCUUCAUGAUUUAUUGGGCAGGUCUGUAUAACUCCGAGCUACGAGGGAAGCUGAUGGACGACGUCAAGACGUGCUGGCGUGUGCUCACCGGGUACUGGCGCAACAAGCUGAGAACUAUCAAGUCGGAGAAAACUGUUGCUAGUUGUAGUGUAACAGAUCUCUUGACCUGAAUCAGGUUGGGAGCAUCUUCCCUUUCUUUUCUGUUCCCCUCUUGUUCUUUGGUACUGAACAUCUGUAUUUCUGUUUUCUCGUGAAAUGGAAAUGGGGUAGAGCCUCGUCUAAAAAAAACUAGAUGGUAGGCAAAUUGCUCGGCUUUCUUCAAGUUUGGUAACCUGUCUUCACAGGGGUCGGGAGCACCUCGAUCGCUGAAGGAGACAAUGCGGCUCGCUGAUGGCUGGAGAAGUACAGAACAUAAAGCUACAAUGCGGUGAGCAUUCACGCGGCAACCUUUACACACGCGGUGGUGAGUGGUGACGACCGGUGGUGACUGCGGGACGGGAGGACUUCACCGCGCUUCAGAAGAUCUUAGUUGACAGAAACUCCAUCGACAAUGGUGCAAGUUGAGAGGAAGCUAGCUAGAUUGAGACAGACAACAACACAAGCCUGAUGAACCUGCAAGUUUAGGAAGCCACCACCGCGCGCUGAAUGUACUCAAAACACUAAAACUUGCUAGGUUCAAGUGAUAAGGUGAGAUGAUGACAUGAAGAUUGGUAGUCCAGCUCCCGCAGGAACAUGCUUAAUCGCACAUCACCAUCAAAGCAUUCAAGCCAUGGACUUUUCCUCGUGAAGAAAAGGAGAGAGAGAGGGAGAGAGAGAGGGGGGGGGGGAGAGAACGAGAAUUCAAACAUGCAUGGUAAGGGAGAACACAUACAAUCAUACAUACAUUUUCUCUCUUUUUUUGAGUGGAAAUCAUACAUACAUUUUCAGCCACAAGUAAAAACAAAAUAAACGGGUCAGGAUCGAUCAAGCGUGCAAUGAUCAACAGGCCAUCAUAUUUAAAGCUCAUUUCAAUCGGUUAGUGUUACUGAAAACAAAAUUGAAAAUCCAGUCCGGCCCAACUGCCGCACCGCACCAAGCCCAACACGGCCCACCUUCCUCUCUCUCCCGGUCUCCCCCUCGGUUUCUUCUUUCUUGCGAGAGAGGCCAGAGCCGAGCAAGAGCAACCAAACCCAACUCCAAACAACUGAAUCGAACCAGAGUUCCAGACCAGGGGAGACCACCACCGGUCCACCGCUCCCAACUCGCCGGAUAGGGCUUUUGCCGCGGCUCAUCUCGCCCGCUCCGCAAUGGCCGCCGCUCACGCGGGCUCCUCUGCCGCCGCCGGCGAGGCCCCGACCACCGGGGAGCACCGGAUUGGGACCACCAUCGUCGGGGUCUGCUACGACGGCGGCGUCAUCCUCGGCGCCGACUCCAGGACCAGCACCGGUAUGGCCUUCGAUCCCCUCUCGAUCUGUCUGCGCCGCGGGAGAUCCUGCCGCCUCUGCGGGUGGAUUUGGCGUGGGGAUGGCGUCGCGGGUCUAGGUUUUCGCUGGAUCGUCGGGAAUUGACGGAUGAAUUGCCGGCUGUGAUACGUGCUGCCUUUCUACUUUCGCUGCUAGGUUCAUUGCUAGUUUCCUUUUGCGAUAUUAGGGGAUGGUCUCUACUUUUAUGUUAGACACACAGCUGCAACUUGCGAGAUGAGUAAUGUGGGUACUAGCAGUAGGAUAGAGUGAUGUUGAGGGAUGUUGUCCUUUCUUUGCAUCCUGUUUAAACCUUUGAGAUCAUUUUCCCUGUGUUUCUGAGUACAAUUAUAGAUUGUCCAACACUCCAACUCUGUUCCCAUUAACUGUUAGUAUUUGCCAUGGUAUAGUUGUGGUGACUGGUUACAAUGAAUGAUAGUGUUUUUUUGUCAAGUCAGACACCCAUGAACCAGUGCUGAAUUCCGAGUGGUAUUUAGCAUGCCCGAAAAAAUCUGCCUAUUUCAGACGCCUGAGCCUGCAUCCAUGUCCAUUUAACACUGAUGAAUGAUAAGGUUAUGUGUCAUGGAUGCAUAAUUGAACUCUUUAUCCUUGUGAUUGAUCUGUAUCGUGCUUAUUGGACAACAUGCCUCCUUAAGUUCACGUGGUGGCUAAGUAGUUCAGAAAUAUGCUUUGCACCUGUUUCUACCGAUUAAAUUCAGUAUUAAGCUGUUGUGUUACUAUUUUUUGGCGUCAUGUUAAUAUUUUUUGUUGCCUGAAUUCAUAGGAAUGUAUGUGGCAAACCGUGCUUCAGACAAGAUUACUCAACUGACGGACAAUGUGUAUGUCUGCCGCUCUGGAUCUGUAAGUGUCCAUGCUAUUUUGAAGAUUGAAGCAAAAAUUUUGUUUUCUCAUGAUUUUUUCAUGUUAAGAUGCUUGAGUAGAAACUUUUAUUUUUCACAUUAAGAUAGAAUGGAAACUUUCUGCUCAAUUUGUCCCUUUGACAAGUUGGUGCACUUUCUUCAAGAUGACACUUAAUUCAGACAAUGGCUUAAACAUGAUUUUGGUCUGAACUAGUCAAUAAACAUGUAACCCAGCAGUUAUUCAUAAUGCUGUUUUUAUGCUGCCUUAUCUUUUAUUAUCUUUGUAGAAAAGAAUUUCUCCUUUGCAGUCCGCAGUAUCGUGCCAGAUUCCUGUUCGCAAGUUCAUCAUCUCAUAUGAAAAAUCUUGCUUUUUUUUGCAGGCUGCUGAUACACAAGUCAUUUCAGACUAUGUACGUUAUUUCCUUCACCAACACACGUAAGUUUGUUCUCAUACACAACCUAAUAAUGUUUAAUCUUCUCAUUGAAUGAAACAACAAACUAGAUGAGAUUUGAGAUCUCUUUUAUAAAAAGGGAGGUAUACGGUCACAUUAAAUAUUUGGCAUGCAAGGUAGCUGAUGCUAAAAUUACCCUCCUGUGCAGAAUCCAGCUUGGGCAACCCGCUACUGUCAAAGUUGCAGCAAACUUGAUUAGGUUGCUAGCCUAUCAGAACAAGGUAUUCUAGCACAGAGACUGUUAAAAUGUUCUUUACUGAUCUCAUUCGUGAACACAUGACAUCUUGCAUUAUUUGUCACAUUUGAUGCUGAAUUCAUCUCUAGUUUCCACAAUGAAUAUUUGUUAUCGAUGUCCAGAACAUGUUGCAAGCUGGCAUGAUAAUUGGAGGAUGGGACAAGUAUGAAGGAGGCCAAAUUUUCUCCGUUCCCCUUGGUGGAACGAUUCUGAGACAGCCAUUUGCAAUUGGAGGUAUUCUCCCAUAGAGUUACAUGGCUCAUGUUUUCUCAAGUCAUCGUCCUGGUUGCAACUUGCAAUGCUUUCCUGCAACAUACCUUAUGCGCUCUGCUAAUGAUCCAGUACUUAAAUCACAUACUUUUUGCAUUAUAUGAUAUUCGAAUGUUCGUACUCCAAAUCUGGUUAAGGAUGUAUUUGCUGAGAAAUAUGGAUCAUAUUAUUUUCCUAAUCCUCUCUUUCUUUAUGUUGCUGUUUCUGACACUUAUGGCAAUAUCUCUGUCUUCUUGCAGGUUCGGGUUCAAGUUACCUAUAUGCGCUGCUUGAUCAUGAAUGGAGAGAGGGAAUGAGCCAGGAGGAGGCAGAGGUACAUCUCUAGGUUCCCUCUUUAGUCUGGAUAUUAGGAUGUUUUCUCUCCUGGUAAUAGAACAUAGAUUAUUGACUGUGUAAAGCAGAAUACAGUACAAAACUAGUUUCAGUUUUCCUAACCUGGUUCCUUUACUUCAUAUUUACAGAAAUUUGUGGUGAAGGUAGUUUCCCUUGCCAUGGCCCGUGAUGGUGCUAGUGGAGGGGUUGUUCGUACAGUUACUGUAAGUUCUCUUGUCUGAUGCAAAUGCCAUGCUUCAUUUAUUUUGCUUGAGAAAUUUUGAAAUGUCAGAAAUACCAAAAACUAGGGGAUGUUUUGGAUUUUUUUUCUAUUAUGAUAUAACUUUCUACAAAUCUAGCAUACUGGGUCUUGUUAUUGCUUUCUCAAGUAAAAGGCAAGCAGUUGUAAUUGAAAACCAUAAAUAUUUACUCAAUUGAGUUUUCAUGUUCUUGAGCUUUUUCCCCUGUGGUAAACUAUGCUUGAUUUGUAAAUGACUUUGCAAAGUAUGUUUUAAUUGUAUGCCUGUAUUUUCCCUUCACCCUCAUUUUUUCCUUCAACUCUAUUUGCCAGUGUUCUUUGUCUGGUAGGUACUCAAUAGAUAAUUUUGACUGAUUUUUUUUCCCAAGUUGGAAACUAACUGAUGUGGUUGUGGUGCAGAUAAAUGCCGAUGGUGUGAAGAGGAACUUUUACCCUGGCGACAAGCUGCCACUAUGGCACGAAGAGAUGGAGCCCCACAACUCGUUGCUUGAUAUUCUCGCUGCUGGAAACCCUGAUCCGAUGGUGCAGUGAAUUUGCACACCAGCACUGCCCCUUUCUUUGUGAACUUUCCUACUGUAUCUGACUUCUAAAUUUCAACUGAAGAACUAUGCCACACCGAUGUAUUUACGUUUUCUUGUUAUCAUUGUUUCAGUUUAACAGAAUGGUUGACGUUUCGAGGCAAUGAUUUCAAAAGCAUGUCGUAUUGGUUUUAGAUAAUGGAUAGUGGUUACUGUGAUGAGUCUGCGGUCUUCCGAUUCACAAAUGAGAAUACGAAAAUACGAUCUUGUGAUCUACCAAGUCAUGUUAAGUUGAUGCAGAUGCAAGCAGCCAAUAGGUAUCAGUAUAUCGUGCAGCAGUUUGCGCUGGGCUACGGGCUACGUUUUCGCAGUUUUGUUUGCGAGACCUGAGUACCGUUUCGAUUUUCGAUGGAAAACGUGCUCGGUGAAACACUAGUCCAUUGACAACGAACAAGCAAAUUCACAGAGAAGCUCCAGCAAAAACACCCUGAAAACGAACAAGCAACUUUAGAGUAUAUGCUCAAGGCUGUGAGGGAUGACUACUGAUCUUGGCUGGUGAGUUGGUUCCGAGGUUCGUUUCUGGCUGGUAGCUAGUAUGAAUACGCAGAAACUAUCACCCUGUAGCUCUCAUUCUGAAGGACUCGCAUUCAUAAGUUAACUCUGAUCCGUUACAUUUCAGCUUAUCCAGGGGUAAUGUAUACUACAGGAAGUUAGUAAUGCUUUUGUACAGUUUAAAUUUCAUUGCCAAAUUAUUUCAAAUUCCAUAGCUCUAGUCAGUAUGCAGUUCUAUCAUUAGGCCUGGUGAAAAAGGUCGAAUAAACAUUUUCACCCGCCCUAUUUUUUUGUUUGUCAUGGGAUAUAAUACAUUGGGUUGGGGAGCUUGAAGGAGCGCGCACUCAUGGAAGAGCCUAGCAGAUCGCUCCACUGAUCCCCUGAAUUGCCCAGGAUCCUGUACCCUUCUGCUUCAAUUUCCUUCCUCUUCUCCGAUUUGUAGGUUGUCGCGGUUUUUUUGCGGUCAGCCGCUGUCCUGAACAUUGGGAAAGACAAUCUCAGAAUUCCAGUACAAACAAUAGACGCUGAAGAAGAGGUGGUCAGAUUCAGCAUAACAGCAUUGAACAAAAUGAUUAUGACCCUUAACCAGCACCAGAUGCUUUUCAUGGUAGUAGUAAUGUCAGAUAGAAUUUUGGACAAGGACAGCACAGCAUAGUCGUAUAUAGGAGAUGAAGCACCAAAUUCAGUGCUUCAUGACAAGAAGAUAACAAAGCGCUUGGCUGCCAAUAUUGGUAAUGCUACUUCAUUGCUUCCGGCUGUGGUGCCGGCUGUGACACUACAAUGUUAUAUUUAGGAGUUCAAAUUCUUCACAGCAGCCUAGAUCGAACCAUUGUAGUCAUGAUAGGUGAUAUUACUGUAGGCUUAUUGCACAGAAGAAGAUUGGUGUGAAUCGUAGCAAAUGGCUUGAAACUAAUGUGCCAGGUAUACCUGAGGAUGAGCUUAUCCCAGUCGUGGAACCCCUGUUUGUUGAGGUUGUCCACCGUGACGCCCCGGUGCCCCUCGCUUCUGCCCGUGAGCAAGAUGGCCUUGAAUCCGAGCUCGAGAACCUCUUUGUACAGCUUCAAGCUGGAGGGAAUCCCCGGCGCCUCCCCCCUCUCCACCCACUUGUCAAACUCGAGGUGGUCGAACAAUUCAAGCCUGCGGAUUGAAAUCAAGUAAACCAUGUGAAACAAUUUUCAAUGGAGCAAUUCAUGCCUAAUUCGUUGUCAUUUGUCUGGUGUCCAAAGUUUUGCCAUUUUGGGUGGCAGCUACCAAACGGGGAUUGGUUGCUCGAUCGGAACGAUGCUCGGAAUUUUGUGUGGCUAAAUCUCUGCCAUUUUUUCUGCCAUUCGAUGGGAUGGGAGAGGAAGGAAAACUCACCCGUAUCCGUGGUCGGCGUAGUAGGGGAGGUUCGACAGCAGCGUCUCGUCGACGUCGAAGAUCCAGGCGUCGCGGCCGUCGCCCCCGAGCGGCGCGGCGCGCGCGUAGGCGGCGGACUCCCGCGCCACGAGCUCGAGGUCGGAGCGGUAGGCGGCGCCCGUGAGGUAGGCCCGCACGUGCGCCGCGCACUCCGCCGGCACGGCCUCCCACGGCGCCAGGUUGUUGGCCUCCGCCGCGAGCCGCCAGCUCGCGCAGCGCACGUCCGCCGGCACGUCGUCCGGGCCCUCAUCCGCGCCCCGCGCCAGCGAUGACGAGGACGACGGGAGCUCGAUGACGAGCGGGCGUGGCAGGAGGUGCUGCUGCGCCGCCGCCGCCACCGCGUCCGCGGCCUCCUCGGACGCGACCUGCGACGGGGCGGUCGCGGCCACCUCCGCCUCCGGCUCUGCGGCGAUGGGGGCGAGGAGCGGCGUCGCAGCCAGGAGGAGCGUCACGAGAAGGCGGACGAGAUCGCCACCGCCGCGGUGGGGCGCCAUGGCGUGCUUACUGUUGUUGAUCGACCGCCCGCGCGGGGCCGGUCGUCGAUGCGCUCCGGCGGGGGUCCCAGGGCGGGCGCGGUGGCAAGGCGAGGCGGUGGUGGCGCGGGGCCCGGCUGGCAGCGGGAAUGCGUGGCUCCGGCGAGCUGGGCGCGUGGAGAGGAGCGGAGGACGGCCGGUGGAGGCGGGUUAAAUCGGGAGGAAGGAGACGGGGUGGGAGGCGUUUCGUUUCGUGUUGGUGGGGAAAGGAAAGGAAUUGGCGGAGGGGAAGAAGGGAGGCGGCGAGUUGGGGGAGUUGGAUUCGAAUCCGAGGGAGGAGGAUUCUUCGGUGGCCGGCGGGGGCGACGAGCGUGGCCGUGGGGUGGGGCCGGUGGUGACGUGUCGGUCUCGGGUUGGUUGUGUGCGCUGGUCGGGCGCGGCAAGGUCUCCCGCCGCGAGGCGCCGACGCGGUGCACCAAACCAACCAAGACGCUGACGUCUCUGUCUCGCGAUUGCUGUUCACUGGAGGUCAAAGCUUUUCUUCGAUGGCCCACACCAGCAGCCAAGGCAAGACUGGGUGCUGCACGCCAAAUUCAACGGGCCGUUACUGGGUGAUGCUCGCCAUCCUGCUUGGGCCGCAACGCGGAGGAUUAUUUGUUAAAAAAGAGAAACACGGAGGAUUUGAGGCCCAGUUGAGCGUGCAAACACAUAGCCCAUCUGCAAGCCUCGGCCCACUUUACCAACCGUUGCAAACUCUUGCGCCUAUAUAUAUACACCCAAGUGAUCUCAUCUUCCACGUUUCUCUCCACUCAAUGGAUAGUGAAAAGAAAAAAGAAAAAAAAACUGCGAACGGGAGGCACAGGAGAACUUGCACGGGAAAAGUAAGACAAUUUGGCAUGAUUUCUUCUCUCUUGUUCUCUUGCAAUACAGCCGUAAACUACUCGAGUGGAGGGCCUAACGCUAUCCCCUUUUCUCGAGAACAAAUGCAUGCUUGCACAUCUCAGCGCCAUCAUGUAGCAUAAUAUUACUUACUCUCUCUGUCUCAAAAAAAUGAAACUUAAGUCGAAUAGUUUUAAGUUUAAUCAAAUUUAUAAAAAAUUACUAAUAUUUAUGUCUCCAAAUAGAUUUAAUAUAAAAAUAUAUUAUAUGGUUGAUCUAAUAAUAUUUAUUUUGUAACAUAAAUGUUAAUAUUAUUUUGUAUAAAUUUGGUCAAAGUUAAAAUUAUUUGACCCCUCAGAAAUUGAGGGUUGCAUUCUUUUGGAAAAAGAGGCGUAGGCAACUUCGUAUUCUCCGUGGAGAGGAAGGAAUACUGCUAUUUGGAUGCAUCAGACGAAGUUGCACACUUGCACUAUAUGGUGGUAGAAGCAUACUUGUGGUGCCAUCUUACCAUCCAGACAUACAAUGGGAUGUCUGAUUUGUGUAUUGACGGUGCCAUUUUUCUAUUCAUGCGCAUCGUUUCAAAAUAAAGCUGCUUUCUUGUUGCAUCUCUAUUCUGAUGUACAUUACAAGUAUGAUUCCGUAGAAUAGACAGCAUACAUAUCAAUAUUUGAAUGCUACAACUAGCUGGAUGAUUUCACAUCUAAUGUGCUGAUGACCAUGAAACCAUAUUUGAAAAUUUGAAAGAAAAGGGGCCUGAAGAAUGAAGUAGCAAUCACCAUACCCAUUGCUUCUAGAAUAGUGUGGGUAUAAUUACACCACCCAAGUGGAUUUUUUCAAUCCCCCCUCCUUUUUUUAGUGCAACUAUAACAUUAUUAUUCACGGAGACCUACUUCCACAGUAUGUGGUGUGGGUUUUACACGUCAUAGUUAAUCCGUCCCUGCUCUGAAAAGUAAAAACAUGGGGGGCAUUGAGUAUACUACUUCAUUUUUUCAACUCCUCCUCUACUCUUGCAUGCAUAAUAACAUGUAACCACCUACCACAUAGUAAUUCUGAUACCACCAACUCUGCUUCACUGCUCCUACGUAACUCAGUUCACUGUGCUCGCGUACACAUAUAUUCUACCUCCUCACUUUACUGCUCGGCACCUCUUAAUAUUCGACUCCAUUCAGUGUGUUAGACUGAAACCCAUGAGUAUAUGAGUUGAUCAGUACCCAAUCAAACAGAGGGCCUCUGGUGAUGAGCUACAAGAACAAGUUGUGCACAUGCAUGUUUUUGACCGGUGAAGCUAGGCUCAUCAUAGCUGAGGAAGCAACAAAUAAAGCGAUCUCAGAAUGGAAGGCAUCAGGAUAAAUCCUGAGAUGUGCGACCAAAGUAAGCGAUAAUGACCCACAACAUUAUGAAAUUUUGAAUAAUAGUCUCCAAAUCUUAUGCACUUAUCACCUCUAUCGUUGCAGGGGGUUUGUGAUCUUCCCUUGCAAAACCCUCGAGAACUUUGCAAAUGGCAAGAACAUGCUACAAGAAUUGAGCGGGGGGUUGCUGGUGCAUAGGCUCGCGGCUCAAAGGGGACAAGAGGUGUGUGAUGGUGAUCGAUCUCCUUAUCUCCUCCGUUUCAAAAAAAAUUCUCCUCCUUUUCACGAUAGGAAUUGCAUUUGCGUACCCUUGAGAGCUUCAGUAAAGGCUGUUAAACUGUCUUAACAGAAUUUCCCUCAAAAAAACUGUCUUAACAGAAGAUGAUACUAGCGGACAGGAAGCUCAGGCUUGAAGAACAAGCGGCAGCUCUCGUUUUGCGCAGCAGUGUUAGAGCUGGUCCUGCUGAGGAUGGGGAGGCAAUUAGAGGUGACGGUGUUCUUUCCCUAUCGUGUAGGCGCUGCUUGCAUAAGAUGCGACUCUUGACUCCUACACUGCUGAUCGAGUGUUCAGCGAUGUUUCGACAACGGGAGAACGGCAGAAACAAAGAACGUAAAGCCGUUUUGUUUGUGGUAACAACAUGAUGAUGUUUUUGACAAAAUUGUCACCGUAUGUAUGUUUUUUUUAUUUUUUUCCAUCCCACCUAUAUUUACCCUGGAAUUAAUGAGCUGUCACACACUGCAAGGGUAGUGGCUAUGAAGCGGGAUUUGAAUAACACCCUCAGCAGUUAGCAGCAUCAACAAUACCACAACCACAAGUUUAAAGACGCGAGAGAAGGUGGCCCCCAAAUUCUAGACAGGUACAGUUCCAUUCACUGCCUGCAGUUAAUCUCAAUUGUUAAGAUUAGGUCAUCUUCAACAAACUCGGGUCGCCAAUAGAUAAAUGCACCACACGGCCCAUCCUCAAGACCUGACCCACUUCACCAACCUUUGCAACUCUUCCCUACCACUCCACAGUCCACACCCAGCCUCCUCUGUAUAAACACAUGAGUGGUCUCAUCUCCUGCACUUUCAUUUUCGUGGUUGUACCACCCACCGUGCAUCUGUGCAGUCAAUGGAUAGCUAGGGAAAUGAUGAGAAACAAAAUUAAGAACAGAAGGCACCAGGAGAACCUGCAUGCUAACAGUAAUAUGCUUGUCCUGAAUUUUCAUUAAAGCCAUAAACGACUUCUGUAAACGAGGGCCUAACAAUGUCACGUUUUUCAUGAACAAGCGCAUAUUUCCACACGCUUCUCCUCCCGUGUAGCAUGAUUGUGUGAAGAUCAACUUCAUUUUCUCCAUGGAGCGAGAGAAGGGAGUACUGCUACUCUGUCAUACGCUUUCAGGUUGCAUCGGGCGAAGGAAGAGGGAAUGCUGCUAUCCGGGAGCAGGAGAAUACCAGUGACUAGUGAAGUGGCGGUGACAAAUUUUGGGAUGGGGUUAAAAAAAUUCCCCUCGUCUGUUCCACAUGAAAGCACAGGUCUAAGAUACGGUCCAGGUCACUAGUCGUCUCACACGGGCUACAGUGCUGCUGUCUAAAGGAGGGGUAGGGGUGGGCUACGGUGCCGCUCUCUGAAGGAGGGGUAGGGGUUCGGAGGUUUUCUUGAUCUGCGUGAGAAAGUUUUCUUCUUAGCAAAAUAUCCGAGUGCUGUCUUACCUCUGCAGGGCGAGUUUUUCUUCCCAUCCAUGCAAUAUCUCAUUUUGUUAAUCUUCAAACGUUUCUAUACUCUAUUCAUAGUUUCUAUACUCUAUUCAUACGUAUAUAUUGGUUCAAAUCAAAGCUAUUUUUCAUGCCCCUUUGUAAUUAAGGGCCGGCAUUUUAGCAAAGCAAAUCCUACCAUAGCAUAAAACGUCAAGAAUAGCCACCUUAAAAGAAGGAAUUAGGGGCAACUAACCCAUUAAUGAGUUGCUAAUGAUGUAUAAUUUGUACUAUUUGCUUCUAGAAUGUGGAUAAUUACAUAUCACCAAAGUGCCUUUGUUUCUCUUUUUUUUAAUCAUUACCACGUACGACAUUAUUAUCACGUAGACAUACUCUCAUAAAAUAUCUUGUGGGUUUUAUAGGUGCCCCUGGCAAUCCCUUCUUCGGAAACAUGGGUGUAUUGAGAAUGCUGCUUCAAUGUUUAACCAUCUCGUACGCAUGAUAACAUCUAGCCAUCUAGUACCACGUAGUAAUAACUUACCAACAACUCUACCUCUCUACCCCUAUUUAACUCCGUCGACUCUACUCAGCUUGUGUACACAUUAUUCUCCUUCUUCAGCACCUCUUGUUACGGUACAAACUACAGUAUUCUGUUCUAGUCAGAGUGUUAGCUUUGAAUAUAUAAGUUGAAUGAGACUAAAAGAGAGGGGCAAUGGCGAUGAGCUAGCUACAAGCUUAAGACGGGUUGUAUGCAGAUGCAUGUUCUUAUGGCGGGUGAAGCUAGUCUCAUCAGAAUAUCAGAUCUGAUCGAGGAAGCAACACGUACAAUGGUUUGAGAAUGGGGGCAUCAGGACAAAUUCUGGGAUUUGGGAUGAAAGUUAGUGAUUACAAUCCAGAAUUAGAAAAUUUAUAACUAAAAAAAAGAUAUGCAAAAGGGUCACCGGCCAGGUAUUAUACACCAACCUGUCAUCUCUUUUGUUGCCGCAGGGGUGUUCUAGCCUUCCCUUGCAAAACCCUCAAGUAGUUUGGGAGUCGCAAGCAGUACAAAGACUCAAGCAGGGCGGUUGACUGGCUUGUAGUCUCGCUCGCUGGGCUGACACCGCAGCUCGCGGCUCAAAGACAACAGGAGGUGUGUGACGGCGAUCGCCUCCUCCUCCUCCUCCUCUUCUUUCACGAUAGGAAUUACCCUUGCUUUUAUUGAAGGCUAGCAAACUGUCUUAACAGUGGAGACCAGGAUCGCCUGUAGAGGGAGAAGUCAAGCUUGAAGAAUGAGAGGAAAUCCUGGUUGCUCAGCCAAGGGGGAGCUGAAGCUUUUGUUGACUGAGAGGCGACGAGAUGUGGCGGGGCUGUUUCCAAAUCGGUAGGCAAGCACAGCAGAACGUUGCUUUCUGCCUUGUGACUUGUGAGCUCUUCAAAGAUGUACGGCCUUCCAUGGAUUUGUUUGGAGAGAACGGGCCGCGAGCGCCAGAAGCAUAACAUCAGUUGGCCUAGCUAGCUAGCGCGUCGCGAGGCCAUGCCUGUGCAGGUGGAAUGGAGCCCGAAUGCCCUGCCGGCCGGCUGCCGGCAUGGGCCGCAUGUGGCCGAGCCAAGGUGGAGGUGGGUAUCCUCGGCCCGCCCCACGGCCGCCGCGGGACACGAUCAAAAUAUGUAGGCCGGCCUGCAGGGCGGGUGAUCCGCCAGGGAGGCAUUGCGCACUAGUCGCCACCUCACACACUGGUUGUCGCAGUCGGGAAGGAGAUCGGACAGGAUCCCAAGAGAUGGCUACCCGUUCAGAUCUUCUGUUGUGUGCCUGCUUGCUAGGAUUCUAGGAACAAGCACAUGCAGACUUUUUUUUUGAAGGAGAAAAACUCGGCUUUAUUUGAAAGCUCAAAGGUUCAGUACACGAGAGUUACUGGGGCUGCCAGUUUUACAUAAAGGUUCCAAAACAAGCAAAACAAAAGGAUGAGGCUACAGCUCCUCAACAUCGGAAAUGCGAGCUCCUCUGAUGUCUGGACGGCGAGUCCAAGCCUUCAACUUCUCCACGAUCUCCGUCAUGUCGUCUUGGUCAGCUGGUUUCAGCAGCGACGGCCAUUUCUGCAAAAAGGAGAUGCUGGAGUAUAAGAUCUGUAAAGGAUCCUUAGGGAAGGAUCUUUCGAUGGCCAUUUUGUUCCUGUUAAUCCAAAGCGCCCAUGCAACCCCUGCAAACAGGACAAUGCCCAGCCGUUUCGGGAUCCCAAGGGCACCCUUGCCCCAUUUGUCCCGCCACAACUCCCACGAAGUAGGACAUUCAGCCCAACCCAAACUAUCACGAACGCCACACCAUGUCAACCGAGCAAUCGAGCAGCGGAAGAAAAUGUGGUUCACGUCCUCCCCCUGCCCACACAAGGCACAGCGGCAGCUGCCCUUCCAGCCUCUCUGCCGAAAGGCCAUCGCCGUCUGCAGCCUGUUGUUACCGAGUUGCCAAAGAAAUAUUUUAAUUUUCAGCGGAAUCCUCGCACACCACAAAUUGUCAGCGGCCUUCGCGCUCAUACCCCUGUGUGUCAGGAAGGAGUACAGAGAUUUAGUGGAGAAACAUUUGAAUAUGUCGAUAGCCCAUUCCACCUCAUCGUCUCCCUCAGACGGACUAAAAGGCUGGAUCAAAUCCAGCAAGGCAUUGAAGCAGCCCUCUUCAGCGGAGGGGGAUGUCCCAUCCUUCAGAGUCCCAGCAGUCCGACACCCACACCUUGGGGAGUCGGCACAUUUUGAAUAUUUCGGGGAACUGAAUUUUCAAGGGGACCUCAGCACACCACACAUCCUCCCAGAAGGAGGUUUUCUUGCCAUCUUUCACCCUGUGUAACGCCCCACACUUAAACAAGUGCUCGACCUUAUGCAACUCUUGCGAAAACCGAGAAGUACCCAUACUUCUAGAAUUGAAGAAAUUGCCGUCAGGCAUGUACUUUGCUUUAAACAGAGCAAACCAGGUCUCCUCUGAUGCUUGCAUUAUCUUCCAGAUCCAUUUGGACAGCAAACAUUCGUUCAUCAACUUCGUAUUUAGGCUAAUCACAAUGAGGGAUUUUAUAUCCCUAUUGCCAAGAAUAUCACGUCAGCCUGAGGGAUGAAUGAAACACUAUGCCUCAAUGGAGAAUUUCAUUUUACCGUUUGCAAAGCUAACCAGUGUAAUUAAAUGCUAGUUGAUCUAGCGGUGCAUGAGAUCCCCCAUGAAACAACGGCGGUCACAGUGCUCAUUUCACGUCAUUUCCAACAUCUUGGAAACGAGUUAGCAGAGUGUCGUAGGGAUGAAACUGGUUCCUUCUCUUCCCUCAUUAAAUCAGUGCCACGUCAUCAAAAAUAUUGAUGUGUCAUGAUAUUUAAUGCCAUGAAACUUGCCAUGAAAUCUCUAUUGUGAUUAGCCUUAGGCAGCGUUUGGUUCGACGGUGGCAGGCAGCGUUCGCGUUGGAAACGCGGAACCCGAACCAAAGGGCUAGCUUUACGGACGCGCUUUUCUCACCGCAGCAGCGUUCACGCGUUGUGUUCUCACCGCAGCCUAGCACCAGCUUUUACGAGCGUUGGAGCGAACGAGUUGACGGAAAUUACCCGCACUGCCACCGCUUAUGCGUGGAUACCGGUUCGAUUAUUCUCUCUCCUCCGUUCUUUUCUCCUUCGACACCCUCCCUCGAGUACUCCUCUCCCUCACUCCAGACCGAAGCCAGGUCCGGCGGGGGCGCGCGGCGGCGACCGGGCGUGGCGGCGUUGCGGGCGGCGGGGGCACGGGCGGGCGGCGGGGGCGACGGCAGGGGCGUGCGGUGGGGGCGGCGGCGCCCGGGCGCGGCGGCGGUGCGGGCGGCGGGGGCAGGGGCAGGGGCGCGCGGUGGGGGCGGCGGCGCCCGGGCAACGUGAAGAGUAUAUAAGGGAAAAAGAGUUUUCAAUUUGUAUAUAAACAGUAUAUAGCUUCCCCGCAGCAACGUGAAGCAAACAGCUUUUCAGUUUUUCCACAGCAAUUAUCCCACAGCAGCUUUUUCAUAGCAACUAUCUCACAGCUGCUUUUUCACAGCUCACGGCUGAACCAAAUGCACCCUUAGCAUUCCCAAACCCCUUGGUCUUUGGGUCUGCUGAUAGUGUCCAUCUUGGCCAUGUGAUAUUUAAAAUCAUUUGAAGCCCCCUGCCAAAAGAAGUUACUCCUAUGCCUGUCCAUCUCACCUUUAGGCAGCAGAUAGAAUCCUAUUGUGUACAAGGACUCAAGCAGGGCGGUUGACUGGUGCGCUCCGGCGGGAGCCCAGGAUGGGCGCAGGGGCAAGGCGAGGUGGUGGUGGCGUGGGACCUGGCUGGCAGCGGGAAUGCGUGGCUCCGGCGACCUGGGCGCGUGGAGAGGAGCGGAGGAUGGCCGGUGGAGGCGGGUUAAAUCGGGAGGAAGGGAGACGGUGGGGGGAGGCGUUUCGUUUCGUGCUGGGGAAAGGAAAGGAAUUGGCGGAGGGGAAGGAGGGAGGUGGCGAGUUGGGGGAGUUGGAUUCGAAUCCGAGGGAGGAGGAUUCUUCGGUGGCCGGUGGGGGCAACGAGAGCAUGGCCGUGGGGUGAGGCCGGUGGUGAUGUGUCGGUCACGGAUUGGUUGUGUGCGCUGGUCGGGCUCGGGCCGUCGGACGUGGCAAGGUCUCCACGCCGAUGCUGAGCUGAUGUCUGUCUGCGAUUGCCUGCGAUGGCCCACACCAGUAGUCAAACAAAGGCAGGUAAGAUUCAACGGGCCAUUACCGAGUGGUGCUCGCUAUCCUGCUAGGCUUCACACGGAGGAUUUGAGUGAGAGGCUUAGGCUGUCUCCAACGCCGUUCUGUAAAGCGUUCUGUACCGUAUAUAUAGAGAAGAUUCCGUUCUCUAUUACUCCAGCAGCGUUCUCUAAAUGGUACUCUAAAAUAGAGAACGCUACAGCUUUCCUCUAUAUAUAGAGAUUCUCUCUCCUCUUCUCUAUUUUUUCUUUACGUUUUAAACACUGAAUUAAAUAAAAAUAAAAUAUGUCCAUAGCAUUUGAGGUAUGAUAAAUACGUACGUAUAAAAAUUUGGAACAAAAUACGUUUCUAAUAUAGGGUUUAAUGUAUAGAGAACGAGAUUUAGAGAACGUUGUUGGAGAGAAAUGAGAUAUAGAGGAGAGAAUUUUGUAGAGAAUUCUGUAAAUGAAGGAUAUAGAGGAGGAUAUUGAGAACGACGGUUGGAGAUAGCCUUAGACGUGUGCGCGCAAAAUUUUGUCGCCUAUAUAUACACACGCAAGUGAUCUCAUCUUCCACCCUUCACAUCUACAUUCAAUGAAAAGAACGAAAAGAAAAGCAAAACUGCGAACGGGAGGCACCCGGAGAACUUUGCACGGGAAAAGUAAGACAACUUGGCAUGCAAUUUCGGUUAUCCUUUUUUUUUGCAAUGUAGCCGUAAACUACUCCUGUAGAUCAGCCUAAUGCUGUCGUGUUUUUUGCAGGAACAAACUCAUGUUUCCACGCCCCCGAAGUCCUGUGUAGCAUGGUAGGACGUAGAUCGACUUCAUAUUCUCCAUGGAGAUGAAGGAAUACUGCUGCUCGGUCAUUCGCGUUCAGGAUGCAUCAGAGCAAGUUGCAGGGCAUGGUAGAAGGGGCUUACUGGUGGUGCCAUUUUAUUAUCCAGCCAUCGAAUGUCUGAUUUGCGUACUGAUGGCGCAGCUUCUCUAUUGAUGCGCAUCGUUUCAAAACAUAAAGCUACUUUCAUGCUGCGUCUCUCUUGUGUGAGCUGAUUCCUGAAAAGUUCGACUUUCUACGGUACAAGUAUGAUCCCAUAUAAUAGAAUAGACAUGAUAUGAUAUGUUUUUGCCUAUUUGAGCAUGUAUAUUGAUAUUUGAAUGGUACUCGUACCUGGAUAAUUUCACAUGUUAAGACCGGUGACCAUGAAACCAUAUUUGAAAAUCUAAAACAAAUGGGGAGAACGAAGUAGCAAUGACCGUUUUUUUAAGUGUAUCCAUAACAUUAUUCACCGAGACCUACUUUCACUCUAUGUGUUGUGAGUUUUACAUGUCAGAGUUAAUCCAUGCCCCUAUUAAUCCAUGCCCCUGGCAGCCCCUGCUCUGAAAAUAUAGGGGCAUUCAGUAUACUUCUUCAACUCCUCUUCUGCUUUCGCACGCAUAAUAACAUGUAACCAUCUACCACAUAGUAAUUUUGAUACCACCAACUCUGCUUCACUGCUCGUACUUAACUCAGCCCAUCGUGCUCGCGUACACAUAUAUUCUACUUCCUCGCUUCACUGCUCAACACCUCUUGUGUGAUUUAGUAUUCGACUCCAGUCAGUGUGUUAGUCUGAAACCCAUGAGUAUACGAGUUGAUGGCUCUGGUGAUGAGCUACAAGAACAGGAUGUGCACACAUGCAUGUUGUUGACUGGUGAAGCUAGGCUCCUCAAUAGCUGAGGAAGCAACAAAGCGAUCUGAGAAUGGAGGACAUCAGGACAAAUCCUGAGAUUUGCAACCAAAGUAAGCGAUAAUGAUCCAGCAUUAGAAAUUUCGGAUAGCUCAUGCAGAAAAGGUCUCCAAAUCUUAUGCACUUUUCACCUCUUUUGUUGCAGGGGUUUUCUGGUCUUCCCUUGCAAAACCCUGGAGAACCUUGGAAACCACGAGAACAUGCUCCAAGGAUUGAGCGGGGGGUUGCUGGUGCAUAGGCUUGCGACUCUAAGGGGACAAGAGGUGCGUGAUGGUGAUCGAUCUCCUCUCCUUCUCCUUUCAUGAUGGGAACUGCAUUUGCAUUUGCAAAGCCUUGAGAGCUUCAAUAAAAGCUGUUAAACUGUCUUAACAGAAUUUCCGUCGAAAAAUUUUCUUAACAAAAGAUACCAAUCCUGCUAGCGGAGAGGAGAGCUCAAGCUUCAAGGACGAGAGGCAGCCCUCGUUGUGCGGCGGUGGGAGAGCUGGUCCUGCUGAGAAUGGAGAGGCAAUUAGAGGCAACGGUGUUCUUUCCUGAUCGGGUAGGCGUCGCUUAUAAAAGAUGUGCCUCUUGACUCUCCUAUGUUGCUGAUCGUCGAUAUUUCGACAACCGACAACGGGAGAACGGCAGAAGCAGAAAAUAUACAUAAAGCCGCUUUGUUUGUGGAAACAACAGGUCGAUUUUUUUAUUGAAACUGUCACCAUGGAUGUUUUUUUAUUUUUUCCUAGAAAAUGUUAGUGAAUCCCACUGACAUUUACCCAAGAAUUAGUAAGUUGUCACACGCUGCUAGGGGUAGUGGUUAUAAAGCAGGAUUUGAACAACCUCGGUAGUCAGGAGAGUCGACAAUGCCACAAUCACAAUUAGGUCUAAGAAGCGACGAGAAGAUGUCCCCCCCCAACCCAAAUUUCAACCAUGAAUGAAGAAGAGAAAGAAGAAAAAGAGCGGAGGGAGGAAGAAGAGGAGAAAAAUAAUCCCCCUAGAUUCACAUCCUAGAUCCGCCACUGGGCUGCAGUAGCUACCGUUCCAUUCACUCCAGUAAUAAAAUUUGCCAGCAGUUAAUCUCAAUCAUUAAGAUUAGCUCAUCUUCAACAGACUCGGGCCGCCAACACAGACACGCACCACGCACAUGGCCCAUCUUCAAGGCCCGGCCCACUUUACCAACUUGCAACUCUUCCCUACCACUCCACAGUCCACAUCCGGCCUCCUCUUUAUAAACACAUGAGUGGCCUCAUCUCCUGCACUUUCAUUUCCGUGAUUGUACCCCCAACGUGCAUCUGUGAAGUCAAUGGAUAGCGAGGGAAAUGGUGAGAAACAAAAUUAAGAACAGAAGGCACCAAGAGAACCUGCAUGCUAAAAGUAAUAUGCUUACGACUUCUGCAAACGAGGGCCUAAUAACAAUGUCGCGUUUUUGCAGGAUCAAGCGCAUCUUUCCACACGCUUCUCCUCCCGUGUAGCAUGAUCGUGUGAAGGCCAACUUUAUAUUCCCCGUGGAGCGGAAAAUUUUUGUCCUGCUAUUCGGUCAUACGCUUUGAUCGAGGCUGCGUCAGACGAAGGAAAAUGGAAUUAAUGAUGCUAUUCGGUAGCAGGAGCAUGGAGGGAAUGGUGAAGUGGUGGUGAUGUCGUACCCAUCCAUGCAAUAUCUUGUUUUGUUGAUGUUCAAACUGUGUCUAUACUCUAUUCAUGCGCAUAUAUUGGUUCAAAACAAAGCUAUUUUCAUGCCCCUUUGUAAUUAAGGGCCAGCAUUUUAGCAAAGCAACUCCUACCAUAGCAUAAAACGUCAAGAAUAGCCACCUUAAAAUAAGAAGGAAUUAGGGGAAAGUAACCCAUUAAUGAGUUGCUAAUGAUGUAUAAUUUGUACUAUGUGCUUCUAGAAUGUGGAUAAUUACACCAUCCAAAUGACUUUCUUCCUUUUUUUUAGCAUUACCACAACAUUAUCACCAAGACCUACUCUUAUAAAAUAUCUUGUGGGUUUUAUAGGUCGGAAUUAGCAAUCCCUGCUUUGGAAACAUGGGGGCAUUGAGAGUGCUGCUUCAGUGUUUAACCGUCUUGUAUGCAUAACUAGUAAGGUGGUCCACGCAAAUAGCACAGGUAGCUGAUCUUUUAGUAAUUUUUAUGUUUUUCCAACUUUUGAUGCGGCAAGCGACACCCAUUCGAACUUCUUUCGAGAAGCAUUCCACUGCCAUUGGAGCCAUAUUCUCUAGCUACUAGUGGUGCCCACCUGGUCACACCACAGACAAAAGAAUAUAUAAAGAUAUUCGGCAAGAGAUGGACGACACCGAGACGGGGAUGCUGCUCUUUAUAGUUGAAAUUAAAGUCAUGUCAAAAUAGUUUGUUGUUGGUGUUUCCUUUGUUACUUUAACUCUUCACUAAAGUACACUCCUAUAAAUCGACCCGUUGGAAAUAUCCGCACUCCUUUCUCAUCUCGGAACGGUAACAUUGGCUCAUGAAUGGAUGAAGGGCAUACAACAUACUCUUUGAUAAAUCCAAUUAUUUACAUCAGUCAUAUUUUGUUGAAUAUUUUUUGAAACAUGAAUUUAGAAGAAAAUGGAAUGUUAUAUAUAUAAACAUAAAGUUUUAUAUUUUUGACGCCUCAUGCAAUCAUGCUUAUAUUACACUGAAAUAUAUUUUACGAAUACUUUAUAAAUUUUUGAAUGGUCAUGCACUUUUUUAGUUGAUAGUUUCAGUCACCGUGAAUGAAAAAUAUUCUUAAAUUUUUAGAAGAAGAUCUAGAUAAGUGCUCAAUAUAUACCAGUAGCAGUAAAUUAAUAAUCAUGUUUCUUUUAUUUAUGCUCCAAUCUUCAAUUCCUAAAGCUCUGUGCAUACAUGGACACAUAUUAUAUACAUAUUGUCUUACGCCUACUACAUCUUUUUUCCAUGUCGUACACGGGUUCUAUAAAUUCACUAUUACAGCUGAUAAGGAACAGCAUUCGGCUUUACGCUCACCACCAUCUAUAGUCGUCAUCACCCUCUUGGAAUCUGACACGUGCUAACUUUUUCUCCUCUUUCUAGUUGUUCUAGGUAAGCUACUAUUAUUAAAUUAUGCUUCUCCAUGGCCAUUCUAAUGACUUUUAGUGGUUGUUGGCGCGCUUACCUAAAUUGCACAAUGAUGGCAUGUUGGGUAGAGUUUUGGCUCCUUCUAAAAUAGCUUCCACUUUAGUUUCAAUGAUACAACCACUUUUUAACCACUUUUUUAGGAAGCUAUUUUUACAAAAUAUUUAGCAAAUCGGCUUCUUAAUGGCAAUAUGACAAUUCCAGGAGCACCUUAGAGCUUAAGGAGGAAGGAGAAGCCGGUGAAGCCUACUAUCUAUUGCAAGCUGCUCUUGGGUUUCAUGUGGUUUUUUAUGUGAAGCCAUUUUAUUUUACCUGUUUGGCAGAACUUCACCAAAAGACGUUGGAGAAGCCCUAGCAAACACACCCAAACAAUUGUCAAUGCCACUGGUGUUUGAGAAUAUGAUGAAGGGCAUGCUAAAGCUCGAUCAAUGCCAUAGUCAAGCCACUACUUAGCUACCGCCCCAUGACAAUUGAUCUAUAACAUUUAAUAUUUGUUUAUUUGUUUGUAGCUCCACCGGAUGGAGAAGCAUGUGUCUUUCUGAUAUUUUCUGCACUAAUACUUUAGUGAAACUGAAUGUAUAUUCAACAUGAACUCUUUUGGCAAGUGCUAAUUUUAAUUAUUUUUUGAUUUUAAAUUUAGCUAUUAUUUACCUAUCGUAUUCGUCAUAAACUCUUUGAUCAAGUCCUAAUUUUAUUAUUUUUUUAAAUUCUGAAUUUAGCUAUUACUAAUCAUAUUCGGCAAGGACUCUUUGGUCAUGUUCUAUUUUUCUUAAUCAUGUCCUAUUUUUUUUACUCCAUAAUAAGCUAGUUGUUAAUCGUAAAAAGCAUAACGCUCAUCGCUUCCUGCAUCGACCUGCUAGGCACGCAAGAACAUACAUGUAGCUGAAUCUUUCUCGAAUCCAUUGUACUUGAGUGGAAGCGUAGGUCAAAAACACCUCAUAUCUCACGCUAUGUUUGUUUGCCACAUCGUAUCUAUAUUGCCGCGAACAGAGCUAAAAAUCAUGGGCAGUGAAGAUCAAUCUGCAUGCAGCCCCUGCGAUGGACGACCACCUUGUCAGUCUCGCACGAAACGGAAGACUCAUCCACCAGGAGAUGUAUAUAUGGAUGGCAUGUAUGUGUAGAUAUAUAGAAAUAUAAAAUACAUGGUAAACAUCUUAUGUCUCGAUGGAAUAAUUGUGGCUUUCAUAAUUUUUACAACUAAAGUAGCAGUUACUUUCCAUAUAUGUGCAUCCACGUAGAACAAUGGUUUAGAUAUAAGGCAUGUGCUGUUCUCUAUUUGAAAUCAAAUUCUAAUUCUUAAAUAUCAAAUUGAUCUACAGUUAUAACUUGGCUCUACAACCAUACACGAUGUGCAUCUUUCUCUUUUUUCUAAAUGUAUAUAUAUUUAUUAGUCGUAUUUGACAUGAACUCUUUGAAUUAAUCUAGACCAUUAGAUCUUCGUAAAAUCCGAUUGUGUAUAUUGUUCUUUUUUUAGAUUAACAUGCGAAUUUUUUUCUAAAUGUAUAUAUUUGUUGGUCAGUAUUUAACAUGGGCUCUUUGGAUUAGUCUAAACUGUUAGAUCUUCAUAAAAUUCGGUAGUGUAAAUCCUUCUCUUUUUUAGACUAAUGUGGGAAUUUCUGGACCCUCUCGGCGAACGUGGUUACUUCUUUUAACACCCCCUUAUUAAUAUAAUAGAUAGAUAGAUAACGUCUAACCAUCUACUACAUAGUAACUUUCCAACAACUCUACCUCUCUGCCCCCCUAUUAUUUAACUCGGUCAACUCUACUCGUGUACACAUACACAUUCUAUUAUUCUACUUUUCCCCACUUGAGCACCUCUUGUUACGGUAACUAUUGUAUUCCACUCUAGUCAUAGUGUUAAACUCUGAAUAUACAAGUUGAAUGACACUAAAAGAGAGGGGCAGUGGCGAUGAGCUAGCUACAAGCUUAAGACGGGCGGUGCAGAUGCAUGUUCUUAUGGCGGGUGAACGUAGGCAGUAGGCUCAUCAGACCUGAGGAAGCAACACAAAUACACAGUGAUCUGAGAAUUGGGGGCAUCAGGACAAAUUCUGGGGUUUGCGAUGAAAGUAAGUGAUCACAAUCCAGAAUUACGAAAUUUAUAAUUGAAAAAAUAAGAUAUGGAAGAGGGUCUCCGGCCAGGUAUUAUUAUACACCAUCUCUUUUGUUGUUGUAGGCGGGUUCUUGCCUUCCCUUGCAGAACACUCCUGUGGGUUGGGAGUAGCAAGUAGCAUAAAGACUGAAAGGCGAUUGGCUGGCGUACAUGCUGUAAUAUUCCAUGUUAACCCCUAGAAGGUUUAUUUAACAAAAAUUGUGAAUAUCAAAAACUUUUGUGUAUGAUCUUGGUUUAGAGGGGUUGAUGCAUUUUAUUUGAUUUGGAUUUUCGAAUUUGUUUGAUUCAAUUGUGUGGGAUUUGGAUUUGAAAAGGGUACUCAAAUUCAAAUCUAAAGUCUAACCCUUAAAACCCUGGUGGGCCACCAGCCCAAGCCCAGCUGACCCCUUUCCCCUCUAUCCAUCUCUUUCCCCCGCGCGUCCCGGCCCAGCCCAGCUUCGCGAUCCGUCGCGACUCCUCGUUUCCUCUUCCGCCCGGGGCAGCUGACGGGCGGGUCCCACCCGUCAGCUUUCCCUUCUUCCUCCGCCCGCGCCCUCUCCUGGCUCGCUCCGCCCACGUCGCCGUUCGCCCCGCUCCGCGACAGGAGCUUCUAACCGCCCGCUCCUCUUUUCCUCUUUCCUCCCGCCGCGGCCCCGCUCCCUCACGUCAUCCGCCAGCCAGCGCGCCGCUCCGCUCCGCGACAGCACGGUGUAACCACCCGCGCGCGCUCCCUUUUCCCCCGUACCCCGACCGCCCGCGCCGCGAGCCCAAACCCUAGCCGUGCUCCCUCCGGCGCCGCGAUGCCGCCACGCGUCCUGGCCCGGACGCCAAAAAGCCCCGGCCGCAGCCACUCCCGAGCCCUAGGGCCGCCCCAUAAAAAAACCCACGGCCGCCGCUGAAGCCCUAGCCACCCGCACCCACUUCUCCAAUCCGCUGUCGCCGCACCCGAGAGAGAGAGAGAGAGGAGGAGGAGGAGAAGCGCCCGAGGAGGAGGACACCGACGCCACCCGGAGCCGAGCGAGGAGGACGCCGCCGCCGCCACCGGAGCUCCACCACGCCUGCGCCGUACGACUACACCAAUGCAGCCGCGCACCCUGCACAGCCCCGACCCGCCGGCCUUGCCUCUCCGCUGCCCCGAGCGCCCUCUGCUCCAGCCCCGCCGGUGAGCCACACUGCCGCCACCCCUUUCCUUUCCCCUGCUGCCGGCGUGAGCCAUGGGCCGCCGAUGAACCCUCUGUAGUAAUCCCUAGGGCUCCUUCCCUUCCGGCCUUGGCGCCGUUUCAUUUGUGCAGGGACCCGCCGCGCCGCCACCGUACCCCCCGCAAACGCCGUCGCCCCUCGCCGCCGCGUUGUGCCGCGGACCCGGGAUGCCGGUGCUCCGCGCACGGCACGGCCACGCCGAGGCUCUGGAAGACCAGAACCCGCGCGCGUGCGCGCGCACCCACAACACGAACCCGAGCCGUGCCGCUGCCCGUUGCCUUGGCCCCAGCCUCGCCAUGCCUGCGCCACGGCCUCGCCGUGCACGUCCACCCCCGCGACGCGGCCGCGACGUCGCGUUCGCGUCGCGGCCAAGUCGUUGGGGCUUUUCCUCGAGCACCCUCCGGGUGCUCACACUCGCACACGCCCUCGGCGCCCACACGUACACACACACACCCACCUGCCGCACCGGAUCUGAACCCCGCCGCACCAGAUCCCGCGGAGGCCGACACGUGGGACCGCCCUGUCAGCGAAGGAGAAGACCAGAAGCUGCCGGGCUGCGAGGAGGAGAAGGCGAAGCGACGAGCCCAGCCCACGGAGGGAAAGAAGCCGGCCUGCGAAGGAUUCAAGCCGAGCCGAGCCUUGUUGGGCCAACCGAGCCGGCCCAACUGUUUUGAGCCCAAAAACAAGCUGAGCCCUUUUCUUUUUCCUGUUACAGGCCUGACCCGAGGGGCCCACCCGUCAGCCUCAGGGCGAGGCUGACCCGUGGGGCCCGUUGACCGUGGACCCACCUUGACUGUUGACCGUUGACCGUUGACCGGUCAACGGUGACGUUAGCAGGGCCCACUGCUGACGUCAGCAUACCCGGACCCCCCUGAUGACGUCAUGCUGAUGUCAGCAUGCCACGUGGCACGCCCUGGUGCUGCCACGUGUCUCUGUUUAAUGAUUUUCUUUUCCUUAUCCGGACCUCCGAAAAUUAUGAAAUCAGUUUCAUAAUUCUUCUAAAAUCAUGAACCACCUGUUAGAGUAGGCAUUAUGGUGAUUUGGAUCUUAUUUGUAGUGUUUUGUGCAUAUUUGCACUUUGGUCCCUACUCUUACUCGUAUUUACGAAUAGGACCCGACCGCGAGGAGUUGACCGACGACCAGGACUACCCGGAGGCCCAGGAGGACUUCGAAGAGACGCCAGGUUCACGCCCAUCUACGAUUUGAAUCCCUAUUAGGCAUUUGCUUGUAGAUAUGCUAUCGUUGUAUGUGUAUAUAUAUACAUAUCGAGAUAAACCUGCAUGGCCUCAUUUAUGUACCUUGCUCCUUGCCAAUCUAUCUUACUUGUUUAUUAUAUGAAAUGCCUUGUAAAUCCUUGAAUGUGUAUGUGUGGGAUAUGGAUGGAUAGUCUUGGCGUGUGUGAAGUGUUUCUCUUCAGGAGUUGGUGAUUAGGGCUUUAGCCGGGAGUGGGCAACCUAACUCGAUCGUGGAUCGAGGGCUUGGGGUGUGUAUCUUGGCACACCCUACAGAGUACCUGUGGCGGGUACAGCUUUGGUUACGUGUUUGAGGUGUUGGAGGCACCCGUUAUGGGUGCAGUUGCGGAUCACCGUGGUGGAUACGCUUUUGACGAAGAUGCCCGCUUCGGCAGUUAAGGACCGGGUGAGAGUAACCAUGACUUGUGGGAAUCUGUUAAGCGUGCACACCACUUACCCAUUAUGAGGGUGGGUCCGGUCCGGGGUUAGCAAGCGCGGUACCAAGCCGGUAGGAGGAUCGAGUAUCGGUGCAGGGGAAAGAGGUGCUGACCUCACGUUCUCCGAGACGCAUGAUAGGCUUCACAGUCCCGGGGUGACCUCCCGUGGGAGGAUGCGCCCAAGACCCGGGAAAGCCGGAUGGUGCCGUGGCUCCUAAUUCCGUUUCAGUAGAUCGGUGUUUCGUAUACUAGUCGGCUGAUCUCCGGCUAGUGUCGAUUCGAGUGGGUCCAGGUGUACAACCCCUGCAGGGUGAAAACUAUACGUAUAGCCGCGUCCUCGGUUAUGGACAUCCCUACUCCUCUGUUGCUCUUAUUAGUUAGUGUUACUCAUGAAUUCUACCUCCCUCUAGAAUAUUUUUCCCUGCCAGGGGGCAGUUGAGAUGCGAGGAGAGGGAGUCCUCGCAUCGACUUGGUGGUUUUGGAAGGUGUGUGUGACCGGGAGACCGGAAUACCGGAAGAGCCCGAGUCAGGAAUGAAAGGAGAUGUGUAAUCAUAUAUAUAUCUAUAUAUAUUUUGCAUGCAUAGGGAAACCCCAGCUUUACCUCUUGAACUCUGUUAAAUCCGUAGUGUAGACCACAAAAAGCUAGCAUACAGAUGGUGACGUGAACCUAUCCCAUUCCUUGGGGAUAGCCUGGUACGAUGCAGGAUCCGAUCCGGAGUUCGACCCCAACGACGACGGAUGGUACGACUGAGGCCCGAGCUACGCUCAAGUCGCCUGUGGAGGAGGUUCCCGAGGAUGAAGGACGGCCAAAGACCUAGCUACCGUUUUUGCGCCUUCUGCUUGUUCGAUCUAGCCGGAAGGCUUGUAAUAAUUUCCGUACUACAGAUUCUUUGGAUUUAUGUAAUAAUUAAACCCGGGUUUGACCUCAUAAUGAGUAUGACUGUGAUAUUAUGCCUGAAAUGAGUUCUGUAUGUGAUAGCGCUUGAUCCAGGGACUAUCACGAUGAUACAGAAAGUCGGAUUCCUGAAUUCGGGAAUCCGGUUGUUUCACAUGCAGUCUCGCUCCCUGGGCUGACACCGCAACUCGAAGCUCAAAGAGACCAGGAGGUGCGUGACGGCGAUCUCCUCCGUCUCAUCUUCAUCUUUGACGAUGGGAAUUACCCUUUUCUUAAGAAGGGAUUCCAUUCGCUGCAACACUAAAGUUCGCUAGUUUAAUUCAAUGGAGCCGCAGAAGCUUAUUAGUUCCGUGUUCCUCAUCAAAGAAAAAAGAAAAGGAAAAGGAAAAAUGCAAGCUACGUCGUACAAGAAGUGAAUUGGGGGGGGGGGAAAAAAAGGACGGAAAUUUUGUGGUACGGUGACGCGCACGGUAGGAGCCAAGCAACCAUCGGUUGGCCUAGCUAGCUAGCAUGUCGCGAGGCCACGCCCGUGCAGUGCAGGUGGAAUGGAGCCCAGCAAAUGCCCUGCCGGCUGCCGGCGUGUGGGCAUGCGGGCCGUUGCCGUACCGUACGCCUACCGUUCCGCUCCCUUGCGCGGCACACGGGACAGGGGCGCACGCGCGCGCAGGGCCGCAGGCCGGCCGUUGGCGACAGGGCAGUUGCUGGUUCGCUCUUCCCUCUGACGCGCGCGCGGUCCCUCUGCUCGUGAGGCGGCCGAGGCGCCGAGCCGGGGUGCCACCCACCGUGGCGGUUGGUCAUGUAGGCCGGCCUGCAGGGCCGAACGAAGCCAAAUCCGCCGGGAGGCACGCGCGUGCGUGGGCUGCGCACUGCUAGCUAGUCGUCACUUCACACACGGCGCGCUGUGUAUCGGUCUACCGCUACCUCAGCAAAUCAUCAAGCACGUACACGUAGUUUGUUUCAGCGUCCGACCUUGCGCGCAUGACCUCUUAUAUUAGAUAUUAGAUAUUAGCAACUGCCAUGGCCGGCUAGCUUGGCGCUCUCAUCACACUGCUUGCGCUAGCAUUGCGUAUCUCUUCUUCUUCUUCUUGCCCGGCUUGACUUCGAAAAAAGAUACUUCGUUGAUCUGCCCGGUCACCGCACCCGGGUCGUCCUUGUGCACCGUGCUUAAAUGAUGGCGGAUGGUGAAGCCACGCGCGUGCAAGUCCAAGACCAUCUGCGAUUCUGCAUCGCCGCACAUACGGACACCAGCAUCUGGUACAAAAAAGCUGACGACAAACAAUGUAAUUUAUAAAAAAAAAAAGAUUAUCAAUAUAGGCCAGCAGCCAGCUCAAUAUAAUGACAUUGACAGCUUAGUCAGCAGAGAAAACAGCAAUUAAGAAAUCUUUAAAACACAAAUGUGUGUGUGUGUGAGUGUGUGUGUGUGUGUGUGUGUGUGAGAGAGAGAGAGAGAGAGAGAUGGUCAUGCUUGGCUCCUCGCACGCCAUCCGCAGUAGAGCCAGCAACGUAGUACACGCCCACAGCUAGCCUGGGGGAGCUCGACUGGCCUGGCUGGCAGCUACGCGAGUGGCAUACAGGGAGCCAGGCAUAUCCCCUAGCUUUUCACCUCUUUCCGACCUGCUGCUGCUGCUGCUUCCCAACGCAUGGACGAUGUACGUACACCUACCGUCUCCAACAUCGAUCCACGCCACAAUGCCAUGCCAUGCAUGCUCUAUCUUCCCUGAACUAACUGAACUUGCAGUUGCAAGGCGCCGGCCAUGGCAGCACCGAAACAAGCUAAUAUAAGCAGAUAGCUGUCUGUGUAUGCAUGCUGGCUUCGAAAGAAGAGAAGUAACUCCUAUUCCCCGCUCACCCAAACCCAGUGGCUCCUUUCUCAUAGUACACAGACGAUUACAGAGAGCCAGAUAGAGGUCGAGCGCGGGCGAGAGAUGCCCGGAGGAAGAGGUAGAGGGGGGGUAGGAAGGACAACGCAAUGCACGGACGAAACAGACAGAAGAACGGAUGCUUGCUUGAGAGAUGAGCUGGGACUGGGAGGAGCUAGCUUUGCUGAUGAGAGAAUGGAGUAGGGGACUCUCCUUCGAUCUAUGCCCCCGUAUAAAUAGGUGGCUCCGAUCCAAAAAUCCCCCGGGUCGUCAAAGUGCCCGCCCUAGCUGCAAGCUAAUCGAUGGAUCUCCCUCUCCCGUCCCAUCAUCCUACACACACAUGCUCGCACAUUGCACGCUCCUCCAAGCAGCUCAGAGCUCACGGCCAUGGUGGCCAGGCCAGACCAGAGAGAGAGAGAGAGAGAGAGAGAGGAGAACCUCAGGUUUCCCCAUCCAUCCAUAUAUACGUGCACACGCGCAUGACUACAAGGCCCGAAGAAUAAAGGCGGACGGACGCCCGCUACGCACCAAGUGCAUGAAAACCCUAGACAGGCGCCCUAGGCAGCUGGCACAGUGUCAGGGUGGCUCUACUAGCUCUCUAGCUAUCGGCAUCGGCAUGCCUGCUGCCUUUUCUCGCUCUGACUAUCUUUGCCAACCACAAUGCACAAGCACACAACACCCUUGUGCUUGUGGCGAAAUGCAAUCUCGCACACGCAAGAAGGAAUCUCCAUCCAAAUGCUCCUCCUAUUCAAUUCUUCUUGAUGAAUGAUGUGAGCCUUUUCUUUUUUGCAUUGCCUGUGUCUGUGUUGUGAUGCUUGCAAAUUGCAACCCCUCUCUCUACCUCUCGAGUCUCGUCUACUAGCUACUCCGCUUUGCAAUUGCAAAGAACAAGCUGGCUUUCUGAGACGGGGUUUGUCUCGCAGCGGUUGGACGGGAGCCGGAUUCUGAUCCCCUGCGCGCGCUGCGCUGCUGGACCAAGGCGUGUGUGGGUCACGCCGUGCCUUUCUUUCUACUGCGCGUGGGCUUUUUUAACAGCACGCAGCGUGCCCCCGUGACAAUGCAUGCACCAUGCAUGCUGCUGCGUGCGCCCUACUUUUUACCUUUCCUUGUUGCUCCCGCAAAAAGUUGAUGCGACUGGGAUGGGCAAAAGGUGGCGCCACACCGGGCCUUGAACUACUUGUGCACUAGGGUGUCUGUGUCUCGGAUUGCUCUUAACCCAAGUGUGUGCUGGUUUAUUUGGUCCCUGGCUACUUCAAAAUAAUGUUGAGGCUAGUAGUACUUGUCAGGUUUGCAUUGCUAUAGUAGAAGCACUAGCAGACCUGCAACAUUACGUUCAAAAAGCAGACCUGCAACAGUUCCAAGCAUCAAGCAAAAUGCAAGGGCGUCAGGGAUCAAACUGAUCGAGCCGUACACAGUACAACUACAACCCCCACGCCGGCCACCGGCGUCGUAGGCGUUGGACAGCAGCAGCAGCAGCAGCAAAGCUAGGUCAGGUCACGUCCACCGCGACGUGCGGACCACGUGAGACGAAACGGGAACCAAUAGCCGCGCUCCUCACGUACGCCAUCCGUACGCGCGCGCCCCGGCCGCAUCGGGCGGCGGAUGUGGGUGGGCGGGCGCUACCUGCUGCGGCCGCUGGCGUCUCUCUUGGCUGCCCCCCGGCCGGCACCGGCAGCCACCCGUGCUCCCGGGGCGCCGUGUGCCGUCGCGGUCGGCGGGGACGACGCCGUGCGUGCGGCGGGACACACCGAUGGAAUCAGAUCGCCGAUCGAGCCGGCCGGCCGGCAGCGGACCGAAGGGACCAUUCCGGAACGGGACGCGCCAAUGGAGAAGAACAUCGAAGCACGGCCGCCGCUAACCGCGCGAUCGAGCGAGGAGGCAACGAAUCAUUACGCUCGGAGCCCCGUUGGCGCCUGCACGCAAGCCGCUUUCAGGGAGAUUCGCGGCGGCCGCUACGGAACAAACGCCCGCAACGGCCCCGGCCGCGGCGGCGUGUCUCCUUGCCCUUGUCCCCCUCUGGUCGCCCGCUACCCCCCGGCCUCCGCUUCCCUAUCGACCUAGGAGUAUACGGCUACACGACCUGCCUUCCUUCCUUGGGCUGCAGUGUGGCAGGCAGCAACCUUGCUGACCGCUCGCUGGUAGUGAUGGAAGAUGGCGAAUUGGCGAUGAAGGAACGAACGAACAAUGGCCACUGCCAGGGCGAGUCGGUACCGUACCGGGGACCGGAAGGAGCCGGGAGCCAGCACCCAGCAGCUCGUACGUGCGUGCAAGCAGUGUCGCCGUCGAUCUUGAGUUGGGACGAUGGCGAUUGCGAGUGAGGAUCCCAUCUCUAGAUCUCUGAUGAUACAAGUACGUACAGCAGCUGGCUAGCUGAAACCGCCGCCAAGUGCCUGUGCGUUAAUUACACUUCUGAAUCGUCCUCUGCAUUCUGAAUCGUGGCGGGCUGGCGGCAGCGCAGACGGUCAAAUGUAUAAACAUGCAUCUCCUGCAGUCUAGGCGCCUGAAUGAAAUCGAGACACUGACUUCAGGCGACGAGGGGGGGGUAGCCAGCGGCAGCCAGACGAGGUUCGUUUCCGGUCGGAUCGGAUCUGGCACUCGCAGACAGGCCCCCUUCGCACAGGCGCAUCAGCAAGUAAGGUUCCGUUUGGAUCAAAGGAAAAUCAAAGGAUUUUUGUAGGAAUACAAUCCAUAGGAAAGGAAACACGCUGCUACGUUUGGAACGGAGGAAACCGGCGAUCCGUUCCGUUGGAAAGGAAACUACGGGUGUGCAUUUUAUAGGAAUCAAAAAAAUCCACUCCGAGUCAAAGGAAAGAAAGGCUCGCUCUUUCUCCGUCUCUGUCUCUCACGUUCACUCUCCGUCUGGGUCUGCUUUUUCUCUUCCUCACGAAGCUCUCAUCCCCAACCAUGGCUCUACAGAACUAGCUCAUCUGCCUCAAGAUUGGACCUCAAGAUGACGAAUCCACGAACCAAGUAGCUCAUCUGCUCAACGGAAUCGCCCUCCUCUGCCUUUUCCCCUUCCAUCAACACUAGAUUGUGGGCAAUAUGCAGAAAAUAAACUCAUCAUCAUUUCUGGACCUACGAUGGUAGUUUGAAUCCAUGAAAAUGAAUACUACUACUUGGUUUGCUGCAGGUGGGUGAGUGUGUUUGAAUGGCUCUUGCAAUGUUGUAUGUCAUAUGGGUGAAUUAUAUAGCAAGAAGCUAGCUAGAGAGGUCCAACGGUCUUAUGCCCAACGACUAGUAUGUGUGCAACAUGUCCAACGGCUAGUAUGUGCUUGCAACGGCUAGUACCCUCCGUGGUUCAAAUAUUCAAACUUUCCUGCAAUCCAAACAACAACAAUUCUAGUUUCCUGUGUUUUGAAUUCCUGUGGUUUUCUCAUCUUCUUGAUUCCUACGUUUUACCUAUUCCUACGUUUUUUCUUAUUUCUAUAUUUUUCAUUCCUUUAUUCCAAACGGGGCCUAAAAGUGAUCACUGCAUCAGCACGUACUGGGCCCGGCGGGUUAUGGCAUUGGAACUACCACGCGGGCCACACGACGACGACGAGGCCGUGGGCUGCCUCCCAGUUGCCAACGCGAGUUGGCCGACCCACCGAACGGCGGACGAUGCACGUUAAGGGCCUUCAGCCCAAGAUCCCAUCUGCCUGAAAGCAAAAUAAUAAUGAUUCGCAUAUCGUUUGGAUAAACAAAGCGGUUUCGUGGUGUAGUUGGUUAUCACGUCAGUCUAACACACUGAAGGUCUCCGGUUCGAGUCCGGGCGAAGCCAUGCUUUCUUUUUCAUCUUUUUUUGUCCCUGCGCUGACAUAGUGACAUUGUUCAAACUCAAAACCAGUGCCGCAACCCUCAAAACGGAUUCGUAUGUUUCUUUGUUCUUCAAACAAGUAGCACAAAUGUCCAUCACUUCAGAAAAAUCCAUCUCCGCCGGAGCAGGGAAAUCAGAGUCGAGCAUUGUACACACGCUCACUAGCCAGCUAAGCACUAUUUUUUUAAUCUAUUAUCGCUCACAUUUUCUUUGCAAUUAUUCCUCAAUAUAAUUUUCUGGUUUUCUGUCCUGCACCGCUAAUUCGUCCAAUGCAACCGCCAACUUCAUUACCGUUCAUUGCUGUUAACCAUCUUUAUCAUCUAGAUGAAUAUGAAGAACAUAUGUUUCAGUUCACUAAAAAAGCAAACGGUCCCUCCCUUCAUGCAAACUUGCAGACAGUACUUUGACAACUAGCUAGUACAUCUCAGAAGGAGAUAAAGAUGCACCCAACUUGCGGAUGAACUGCCCCCAAAUCUCAAGUAAUAAACGUGAAACACGGUAUGAACCCCAUAAGUUUUUUUUUUUUGCGGGUAGAACCCCAUAAGUUUGUUCUGCUCCGACUCCGAGAUGGCGACUGAAGCGAACCCUAGUAAACACAAAAUGCAGACAUGAACAUCAAUCACUCCUACUAGGGAAAGCUAAGUAUGUUCUCACCACUUCCAUUUGUUAAGUCAGGUGGAAAACGCAUCAAUUACUAGCGCACGCGCACUAAUUGUUGCAGCUAGUGGAAAAAAGGAAUAAAAACGUAACACGAAAAUCACUCCCCAGAUAACAGCGGCAGCCUUGGUCAUUGAGCUGCAUCCAAAAAGUCCCAGCUGGUAGAGACAAAAAGAGGGCAAUUCACUUAUAUUUCAUCACUAUUUGUAUUCCAAACAUUCUGAAGGCACGAGCGAGUGACAAGCUAUGUGCAUCCAAAGAAUAACCAAGAGACGAAAGCAACAGCAGGCUAAUGAGGGAGUGCCAGGGGACCCAGAUGUGGUUGACAGAAAACCUCAUGAGAUAUGAGCAUCUGAUCCUAUUAUCACUAGUUGCAGUGAACAGCAGGCCCCAGUAGCAUGUGCUGAUAGGACCAUGCAUGUAACAUGCACUUGAGCACUGUAACAUCAGGGAAAAGCUUGGGGCCAAAAACCGCCACGUCUUGAGAAACAUCUCCAGGCUGAAGAUGAGAGGCUGGCACUUUGCAAGUACAGGGCUCCACACAGAUUCUCCCAGCUGCUGUGAGCCACAAGAACACCAGGAUGGGAGGAUGCUGAAACCAUUGCUCAUUAAGCAUGUCGCGUCAUGUGCCCCACAAGCAGAUCCAGUUAUGAGCCGGCAGGGUGAUGGACUGGCGAGCUCAUCUCCUGCGGAUCAAAUCUUUCCACAAGCAGAAAAUGGUGUUAGUAAGCUAUAGAUAAGAUCAACGUUGUAUGUAUGUGUUGGUUCCCCAGAAAUAGGACCAGGCAAAAAGACAAGAUUGAUUGAUCUGUACUUUUGGAUUUAGAGGUCUGUUAUCCGAAAUCCUUCUGUAGGACCUGUUGGUAGGAUUUUGAUCAGUUCACAACAAUCAUUGCAACAUUCUUCUCAGAAAAAGAAAAGGGAAAGGAAGCAGCAAACAUCCCAUUGAUUCAAUUAUAACAGUAAUGGAAAGAAAAUUGUUGCCAUAUAUGUACAUCCCAGGAACCUACUGUUAAUUGAAUAAUAAUGCUAGAAUUAAAUGCAGUGGGAAUCAAAGUGAGCAUCUUGGGGGAGAAACAUUGAUAUCUGCAUUUACAUGUACUUAUAGCAUGCAUAUCUAGACUGCUAUUGUCAUAUCAAUUGUGAGUAGUACAGCAAUAUGGAUGUCAUCUGCUCAUCAUUUUCAUCAUUUUCAGUGAUUGCCAGAACGAAGGCCCUUGUGCAAAUCGACAUUGCAGUCCUAAUCCUGUAAGUGUCAAGAAAAGUAUGGUUAAACCGACCGGUUUGACGGCAUCUACAUCUUUGUACAAAGUUGUCAAUUCAGUAUCAAGAAAUGGACUCAACAUUUAAAAUUC